GGCGGCCGGAGGUGGAAGACGACGGCGUUGCGGGUGUUGCAGGGCUCGAGGAAGCUUCGGCUUCUGCAGAGACGAUCAGGGCGACGAGGCGGAGCUAAUGGCGUGCUCUGGGAGGGGAUCCUAUGGCGAGGGGCACGGGCAGCUCGAGCUCGAGCUCGGCUCUAAUGGCGGCAGCAAGGAGGGGGAGGAGAUCCGGGCGGAGGAGGAGAACCGAGGCAGGGAAUGGAUAGGGGAAGCUCUGGGGAGCUUAUCCCCGUCGUCGCCAGCGCGAACCGGCGGCCAGGCAGGCACGCAGGUGCGUGGCCGCGCCGGAGGGGGCGGCGGCCACCUCCUGCUGCCUACUGGCGCGAGGGAGGGGACGACCGGGGAGAUGGGCCGGGCCAGGCUGAGGCGACAGGUAAGUUUUUUCCCAUUUUCGCUGUUUUUGUUUUUAUGUUUUGCUAUUUAUCGCUUUCUUAAUUAUUUCAGCUCCAAAACAAAAAGUAAAAACUAUUUUAGACCUCCUGAAAUAUNNNNNNNNNNNNNNNNNNNNNNNNNNNNNNNNNNNNNNNNNNNNNNNNNNNNNNNNNNNNNNNNNNNNNNNNNNNNNNNNNNNNNNNNNNNNNNNNNNNNAGAUGCAAAUGCAAAGAAUACAUGAGCACAAUGCUAUCUUGCUUAAGGGUUAGGGAUGUGACAGCGGGUUACAAAUGCGAUCCAAAGAGACAUGCAGAAGUGUUGUUAAAGGAUACCUCAUUUGGACUUUUCUUGUUCCUUGUUGGUAAACCGGACACCAGAUCACCGGAAUGACUUCGGGUCUUCCGAUUUGAAGUGUAUUGUGCUUUCUUCAGAAGAAAAUUUGGGUCCGAAAAAGCAUUUGGAUGUGAGAAGGGAACUUUCCCACAAAUACGCCUGGCCGGCUUAGGUGGAGAAGGAGAUGAAUCGGAGGAAACAGAAAUUACCUCUACGGAAUCCUCCUGGCUUUCGUUGUCUUCAUUCUAUUCAAAAGAUGCAGAGGUAUAAAUACAAAGUUAACAGUAAUGGAUGGAGAGUUAAGAGAAGAUAGGUUUUUUUACAUCCGAAGGUGCUUCGCCGACUUGGGAUUCAUCGGCCUCGGAUGGUUCGGUCACAGCAGCUUUGCCCUUGCCCUUGGUUUUCUUCUUUGGGGGCGUCCUAGCUUGCUUCAUGGCUGGCUUUUUGGGUUUCUUGGACCAAAAUUUAUCACCUUUCUGAAAAGGCAUAUGUUAUAAGAGGCCAUAAUUCGAAUGAGAUAUGAGAAGUAAAAGACAAAAGGCGAGUUAAAGUUGCUUACCUUGGGUGCCGGAUUAAUCUUGCAGAAGGGUUUGAGACCUAUUUGGCCUCAUUUUCCAGCACGCUCGCCGGUCAGCUUCUUGAUGAUGGUGACAAUAUCACUUUCCGUUAGAGCCGUGCGGAAGUAGCAUUGAGGAUGAUCUAGAGUGCCAUCAAAUUCACACAUUAACCCGUCCCGGCGACUUAAAGGGAGGAUGCGCCAUUCGACCCAACAGCGGAUCAAGUCAACCCCAGUAAGGCGGUUGUUUGUCAAAGAUCUUAACUCGGACAAUACUGGGAUAAAAUCUGAUUCCUCCUCUUCGGUGAGCUUGUCCGGGAGCUUGAAAUUCGUUGGAAGGCGAUCUUCCCUAUAACCCAAAAGCUUGUUUUCACCUAGAGGCGAGGUCUCUUGACAAUAGAACCAAGACUCGCCCCAGCCUUUGGGGUGGCUUGGCAUGGCGAGUGACGGAAAUGGGCUAUCCCUGCGGCGCUGAACAUUUACACCGCCGAGCUCCAGGCUGGGGCCGUUGUGAAAUUCUGUUUGGCGAUUUAAGUGGAAGAAGUACCAGAAUAGGGGAACUGAGGGCUCCAUCCGCAAGUAAGCCUCACAAAACACCUGGAACUGGCAUAGGUUGCUUAUCGAGUUGGGCCCUAGAUCCUGGGGGCGGACAUUCAUGAAAGCCAUGGCAUCUCUGAGGAACUUCGAUCCAGGCGGCUUAAAACCCCGCUCAAGAUGUUCAACGAAAACAACUAUUUCCCCUUCUUUGGGAUUGGGGAUUUCCUCUCCGAACCCGGUACACCAACCAAUAACAUCCUCAGGGUCCAAAUUUCCCGUUUUCACAUAAUCCUCUAGUAUGGCAUCAUUGACCUUGGUAGGGAGCCAAUCACUUUUGAAGACGGCGCCCAUGCUACAAAGGGAUAAAGUACGGGUGAAUUGACACGCCAAAACAUCUACUGUAAGAGGUGAAGCGAUUUCAUUUGACUCGCCAAGUAAUUUGUUCGCGGGCUGAGGAAAUUUUUUGAUCCGUCAAAUGAAGGCCCGAGUCAGGUUGCUAUGGCGACUUACGAAGCUUUGACUACUUAAAGGAGCGGUGUUUCAAGGCGUCAGAGGCAUUUAUCCAAAAAUGGCGAAGUAUGAAGACUACAAACAGUCUUCACAUAACGAGUGGUGGAUUAUGGAUCUACUGGACAACUGAAAAUAAAUGCGGAAAAUAACCGGAUACGACAACCUACGACCAAGAUGGGAUAAUGAUGUUGAUUUGCUGAAGUACUACUCUAAAUGUGCAAAUCGAGAGCGGACAAAUAAAGGUAUUAGAGACAUUGGUUUUCUCGUCGUCAUCGAUAUCAACUAAUCAGGAACAAGUGACAAUUAUUCGGGAAAAGCGCCAAGAACAUGGCAGUGAUGAACUUCGAAAGAGAAUGGGGAUCUGCUCUUGAAUGAACGGAAACCUAACCUAGUGGAUUCGGCUGGAGAUGGUCGACGGUGAUGAAGGCUUCCGGAUGGGCGCAAAAACCUCGGGCGGCGGCGAAGUAUUAGGCGACGACGAGGUGUACGGCGGCGACGAAGUGCUCCACGGCGGUGAGGUGUUCGACAGCGACGAAAAACUGCUCGGCCCCGACGGGGUGUUCGGCGGCGACGAAGCCUUUGGGCAGCACCAAAGCUUUCUGGCGGCGAUGAGGACUUCGGACGGCGGCGGAGCUCUCGGGUGGCGAUGAGAUUUUCGCUGCGGUAAUGGGGAGAAAAGGCGACAAGACUGGUGGGUGGAAUGCGCCCAAUCUUGUCCCCCACCUAUUUAACAGGGCAGGCGCUGGAAUCGAGGCACCACGAGCGGGAACCGCCAAAGGAUAAAGAUUCGCCAUGAUGGCGCUCCGAACAUUUUGGGAUAACGAUACCAAGGGAUCCGUUGGGAUUAUGUCAUUAUCUUUUCCGGAAUUCAAGGGAUAAGAAGAUACCAACGAGAAAUGGUUUGGCGAUUUAAGUUUUUCCGCAACAGAUGGCGGGUUAAGUUCAUGGCGUAUGGAAGAGGAUGAAAAAUGAAUCGCCCUUAUUGAGCAAGAAUAUUGGCGUGAAGAAAAUUCAAGUCAAUCUGGGGCCUAAUGUUGGGGAUAUUAUCUAUUGAUAACCCGCCCUAGUUGGGCCGGGUCACCAAAUCAGGCGAUUCAUCUGAGCAUGGUUCGGGCCUUGGCCUGGCAAGACUGAAGGUUGUAUGGCGGUUUACGACUUCCGGAAGGUUUCCAAACUUUGGAAGAUGGCGACUUAGAGAUCGUAAGAGUCACGGUUUGUAGAAAGGAAAGUACCUUUGUGAACCCUAGGGACUCGACCUGUAUAUAAAGGCGAGUCCCACGGAAGAAGAGGGCAGGUUAGAAAUUAUCGAGUGCUAGGUCUGGCGAGUUACGCCCUCCUUGUAAUCGAAACUCCACCAAUACAACUCAAAGCAGGACGUAGGCCUUUACCUCCUCACGAGGGGCCGAACUGUUGGAAAUAUGCCCNNNNNNNNNNNNNNNNNNNNNNNNNNNNNNNNNNNNNNNNNNNNNNNNNNNNNNNNNNNNNNNNNNNNNNNNNNNNNNNNNNNNNNNNNNNNNNNNNNNNNNNNNNNNNNNNNNNNNNNNNNNNNNNNNNNNNNNNNNNNNNNNNNNNNNNNNNNNNNNNNNNNNNNNNNNNNNNNNNNNNNNNNNNNNNNNNNNNNNNNNNNNNNNNNNNNNNNNNNNNNNNNNNNNNNNNNNNNNNNNNNNNNNNNNNNNNNNNNNNNNNNNNNNNNNNNNNNNNNNNNNNNNNNNNNNNNNNUUGGGGGUGGCACACCAGCCCUUAGUGGGCUGGUGGGACAGCCCAAGAAGGCCCUAUGCGCCAUAGGAAGAAAAUCAAAGAGAAAAGAAAAAAAAGGAGGAGGUGGGAAAGGAAAGAAGGACUCCACCCACCAAACCAAGUAGGACUCGGUUUGGGGGGGGGAGACCUUCCCCCCUUUGGCUCGGCCGACCCCCUUGGGGCUCCUUGAGCCCCAAGGCAAGGCUCCCCCUCUCCCACCUAUAUAUACGGAGGUUUUAGGGCUGAUUUGAGACGACUUUUCCACGGCAGCCCGACCACAUACCUCCACGGUUUUUUCCUCUAGAUCGCGNNNNNNNNNNNNNNNNNNNNNNNNNNNNNNNNNNNNNNNNNNNNNNNNNNNNNNNNNNNNNNNNNNNNNNNNNNNNNNNNNNNNNNNNNNNNNNNNNNNNNNNNNNNNNNNNNNNNNNNNNNNNNNNNNNNNNNNNNNNNNNNNNNNNNNNNNNNNNNNNNNNNNNNNNNNNNNNNNNNNNNNNNNNNNNNNNNNNNNNNNNNNNNNNNNNNNNNNNNNNNNNNNNNNNNNNNNNNNNNNNNNNNNNNNNNNNNNNNNNNNNNNNNNNNNNNNNNNNNNNNNNNNNNNNNNNNNNNNNNNNNNNNNNNNNNNNNNNNNNNNNNNNNNNNNNNNNNNNNNNNNNNNNNNNNNNNNNNNNNNNNNNNNNNGUCACGCUGCCGGAGAACCCUUCUACCUCUCCGUCUCUCUUGCUGGAUCAAGAAGGCCGAGAUCAUCGUCGAGCUGUACGUGUGCUGAACGCGGAGGUGCCGUCCGUUCGGCACUAGAUCGUGGGACUGAUCGCGGGACGGUUCGCGGGGCGGAUCGAGGGACGUGAGGACGUUCCACUACAUGAACCGUGUUCACUAACGCUUCUGCUGUACGGUCUACAAGGGUACGUAGAUCACUAAUCCCCUCUCGUAGAUGGACAUCACCAUGAUAGGUCUUCGUGCGCGUAGGAAAAUUUUUGUUUCCCAUGCGACGUUCCCCAACACGAACCUGGGUAAAUCGCCGUCUCACUCCCGCUCAACCCCUUUGAGUCGCCACCAAAGUGCGAUGGCUCCAGUACUAAGUCCUUUCACGAGGACAUCUGCCAUGACAAAACCACGACACUAUGUGAGUAAUUCGGCAAGGCCAUGGGUUGAUCCAUAACCUUGCCACCCUAUGUAUUUGUUGGAGGGGUUGGUGGGAUGACUUUGAACUAAUCCUCGUAUGUGUGAAAUAAAAUUGCUUUGUAGUCGUCUCUUGUCUUGUUUGUGAUGUUUGUCCCUCUAUGUACCCCGGAUCACCGAAAUUGAGCUACGGAGAGGCUAAGAGAAGCGAUACCAUGAAGUGCUAUUGUGAACACGUCUAACAACAUUGUUAGUACGGUAGCAUGGAUCAUAUUGCUAGGGAUGUUAGAGGAGUAGUCAUUAAAUGCCAAUUAAUUUUGUCUGAUUCAGUCUUAAUUACCAAGGCAACCCCAUGUUAUGGAUAGGGCCUUUGUUGGAGAAUUGAUUCUUGAUGCAAGGCGCAUUCAGGUCAAGAAGUAAUUUGGAUACAUCCCCCACUUUGAUACUUUGCAAGCCCAUUUGACCAGUUUCUUCCAUGGCCCAAAUUAAUAUCACAAUGAUCACAUUCUAAUAUAUGGUUGUAAUAAAGAAGUAUCAUACUCGUGUCUAUUUUUAUUACAAGUGUUCACUGUUAAAACUUCACUACGAUCUAGGGUAAAAACUGGAAUUUAAUGCUCUUGCAAAAUCUUGUUAGAAACCCUUGUCUUCAAGGGACAUGUCCUCUCGUGUAUUUGAUAACUCAGGCUCCCCUCUAGGAAAAAGGGCAAGAAUCCUUUUGCUAUCUAUUUACCAUAUCACUAAAAGGACUCAUCAAGAGAGGGGUAUGAGAGAGACACUACUAGGAAAAACCUUAUAGGUAGAUGCCUAGCAGUAGCGAUGGGUAUUUAUAGGAUGGGGGCACGGGGUCGUACGAACAAAACGAACAUGAGGUCAUGGUGAGUGGGGCGCUUGGGGUCAUGGGUGCGGCCUUUGUGGACACGAGGUUGAAGGCGAUGACAUGGUUUGACGGGUGGGUCCCAACAUUAAUGAGAGAGAGAGAGGCACUCCGGGAAAUAUCCACGUUGGAUUCUGACACCCCAGGCCCACUGAAUUCGUCCUCCCGACCCCCAUGUUCUUUCACUCGCCACUUCUCCCCGUUGAUUUGCAUCAGCAUCCUCCACCCCCUCCGACGCCCUGCUAUACCUCUCGGACUGGCACACAUGCAUUGUCGUACGUUCACAACCAGCACUGACAUGCCUACCUGCGUUUUAUGACGAUGUUGUCCACCCUGGAGCCAUUUGUACCAAGGUACACUCUACCACAAUGUGGACGACCUUCAUGGUGGCCAUCACACCCGACAUGUGUUAGCUCAAAUGCAAUUGAUCUUAUUAUCGGAAACAUGUCGUUUUUCAUAGUAAGAAGGAUGGCGAGGUACUCGACCAUGGAGGAUGAUUUUUUGGGCGAUGCGUGGUUGGCCGCAUCCAUAGAUUUCGCACGCAGGAGUAGAUGGGGAACCUUCUGGCAGAAAGUACGUGAAUCAUUUCAUGAAUGAAAGCACAUUAUGCCCUAUGACAUGCACAUCAUCCAUGAUCAUAAUGUGAGGUUGUUAUCAUAUCGAUGGUACGCCAUCCAAACCAUCAUCGCCAAGUUUUCUCACAUUGUUUCUUGGCUCGAGGCAAGGUGGCAAUUGCAUGCGUUAGUGGAUGAGAUCGUAUGUUCUGCUUCUUCUUUCUCAACUUGUUGAUUGAAUCAUCAUUCACUCAAUGUUGCUAUUUACAUUGUGUAGCCCGUACACGCUGUUGUGAUGUACCACACAUAAUAGUGCAGAGGGGUGGCCAUUUAGGCACACACAUUGUUGGAUGAAGCUCAAAGAAUAAUAUUUUUGGGACGACAUGAUCCGUUGAAAAACUGAUUGAACAUCGAAUUUGGGACACUGUUGUAAUUGCAUGCUACGAAUGGCUGAUUUGUACUAUUUUUCAAACUUUGAUGAAAAUCGGCCGGUUUGUAUGAAUUUUGUCUGCUAAGUCGAAAACCAGUUUGAAAUAUAUGAAGGCAGCUUGGGAUGGCCGCUUCUGCAUCCGUGUCCGCUGACUGGUACCUUUGUUCGCAUAUGAAUACCAGAAGAAAUUUGCGGGUCACCAUUGAAGAUUCCCACAUCAGAAGGUCCGAAAGGUGGUCGGAGUGUCUAGGCCUUUAAAAGUAUCUACAAUCAUGGAUGGCAAAUAUAACCCCUCAAACGCCCGCGGACGCGUUUGGGCGCGUCUGCGGGGAAGUGGCUAGGCAUGGCUCAACUUAACACCACUGAAACCGGACACCUCAUAUUAGAUCAUUAUAUCCAUACAAAAUCAUGCAAACUAAAAAACCUAUGUAGCUACUCAUCGUCGGAGAUGUCGAUGAUCUUCGUGUCCUCCGACGGAUACAUGUGCGACAGUUGCAGCUCCGCCCCUUCCGACUGCUUCGCUCCGGCCUCCUCCGUUGCUACCUCCAUGUAGAGCUCAUCGAAGAGCGCAUCGGCCUACACCUCCUUCUGCCGGAUGAGCGCACGGCUGGCAUCCACCUCUACCUCAUCCUGGCUCCACCAUUUCCUCGGCUUGGGAGACGGCGAACUCCGCAUCUGCAUUCGCCAAGUUGUACCCCGGAGCAGGAUCAUCCUCCUUCGCUUCCGCCACCUCAAUCGGCUCCGUUUGAUACUCCUCCUCCUCCAUCGGCUGCUCCUCCUCUUCCGUCUCUAGCAAGACCAAAGGUUGACCCGCAGCGAUGCGGGCGGCGCGCCUAGCCUGGAUCUCCGCCUUGAUCUACAUCCCUCACUCCAGUGUGAGCAUAGCUUAGGUCAUGACCUUACGUUGUACCAUAUCGACGUCAGAGUGCAUUGGAGAGCUUGGGAGAGUUGAAAACCAGUCUCGGUCAUGAAGCAAAUAGGGAGUAGGUGGUCGUGCUAGGGUUGGGGACACCGGCCGACUUAAAUAGCCGGAUUUCAUCUCGGGCGCCGAGAUGAAGCGGCAGCACGUGACUUUCACACUGCGGCGACGAACGAGGCAUCCGUCGGAUCAUCGGUUUUCCGGUCAAGUCCGCGUGGAACCCUAUCAUCAUGUCGACAUGGAGGGCGUGACCGGGCGCCCCCCAUAUCCGUCGCAUAUUUGGGAUGAAUAUGAGGGAUGUUCAGGAUAUAACCCCGCUAUAUAUCCCGCCCUAUUGGGUCGGGUCGCUGUUAUGGCGACUCAAUGAUAUUACCAAGACCAGCCUAGAUGUGCCAGACUGGAGACAUACGACGGGUCACCAAGAUGAGCCCGUUGGCGGCCCAGGACAUGAAGAUGGCGAUUCAAGGCUCACAACGUGGAAGGUCUCCACGAGUUUCCUUGCUUAAGGAUCAAGGCGAGUUAGAGACAUACCGGGUCACGACUCAUAACAUGACCCGGACCUUUGUAAACCUAGGGGCUUGACCUGUAUAUAAAGGUGAGUCUCUAGGGCCAACAGACUUAAGUUAAAAUCCAUUGAGAGCUAGGUCAAGCGAAUCCGCACCCUUGUAAUCGAUUUGAUCAUCAAUACACACAAAGCAGGACGUAGGAUUUUACCUCCAUCGGAGGGGCCGAACCUGGGUAAACUCGUCUCUCAUUCCCGAUCAACCCCUUUAAGACGCCACAUAGUUGCAAUGUCCUCGUCACUAAGUCCUUUCACGAGGACAUCUGUCGUGACCUAACCACGAUAGUUGGCGCCCACCUUGGGGCCUACGUACGGUAGAGUUGAAUUCUCAAAGGGAGCCCUUCCAUGGUUCGAGAUCUACGCAGUUGGUCUGAUAACCAAGAGCCACCGUGGAAAGUGCUACAUCAACAAUUCGAACUCGGUACCGAGGUCAAUUCAAUUGAGUUUGGUUGCCUGGCCCCCUUCGAUAGGAUACACGUCUUCAUCGGCAAAAUUGGCGCGUCUAUCCCUGAGCCAGACAUCUGCGCCGACAUCGUCAAGCCGGCUCGGCUCACUCAACCCUCCCAACGUCAGGUCGGGCAGUGUCACGUCUUCGGCCCUGUUUGGAUACUCUAACUCGGUUAGAGGUUAGAGUUAGAUUCUAACUCUAGACUAACCCUGAACUAACUCUAACCAAAGAGGUGUUUGGAUGGAAGGGUUAGAUUGCUAAUAAAUGCACUUUUUCCAAUCAUUUGGCUCCUUUAUCUAGGAUUUUGUGUGGUGGAGGGAGAGAGAAAAGUAACUUUUUCUAGGCCCCACCUAACUCUAACCCAAAAAAGCACCUCUUGGGUGGGUUAGAUUUUUGGGGUGGGUUAGAUGCAUCUAACCCACUCUGUUUGGAUUUUUGAGGGUUAGAUGAGUUCAAUCUAACCAACUCUAACUCUAACCCUAGGAUCCAAACAGGGCCUUCGUUGGCUUCACGCAAGGGAUCAGCCUCCCAGAUGAGCCGGCGGCCGCUGGCGAUAUCCAUGUAAACUCUGAUGGCGAGUCAUCAAUGGGCGACACGGAGUCGAUCUGCCUCCUCUAUGAUGGGAGGCUUGGCGGAUUUCCUGAGGAGGAAAUCUCCGAAUAAUUGCUAGAGCCGCCCCGCCAGGUCACCAUCUACAUGGCACGGGUCGUUCCGGCUCACGAUCUACCAGGGGCAGCCGCAGGCCAAUGGAGCUAUUGCGUCUGGCAAGAUGCCAGCUCAAGCCAUUAUGGAUUUGAUGGGGGAGAUGUCGAAACUCGUGGCAACCCCAGUUAUUGCCGAGAAUCAGGAGGAUAUCAACACGGAGUUAACAAAGCUUCGCGAGGAGAUGGCUAAAGUACAAUGGGAGAUUGACGUCGAGAACACCCGGGUGGGAGAAUUGCAGGCUCGAAUCAAUAAUGAGUCGGGGUGCUUUAAGGCUGAGGCUUGGCAGUUGGAGCAUCGUCAAAACGCCUUCGAUGCGGUACACCAAAAGAGACAUCUGACUUGGCUUCCGGCUAAUCUUGACCGCCUAUUUGACAUCCGCACACACUGGGCGUGGAGCGCCCCCCGGCAGAUAGACCGAUAGGUUGAGCCGGCUCAGCCUCCGUCGGCCCAGUCGACGACUCAACGGUUCCAGACGCCACGGGACUACUUCUCCAACCCUGUUGAUAAUAUGUUGUCCGCCACACGUAACCUAGAGUUGCUCCCCAUCCAUGGAAACACCCCGGUGGAGGUGGAGGUUAGGAACGCCAUCGAGAUGCUGGAGACUGUAGUGGUUCAACAGCACAAUUUUCUUACAGCCGUGAUCGGUUGCACUGCAUGCCGCAUACCAGCCGCACCAAGAGUCGUCGUGAGGAGUCUCCAGUAGUUUCCAGCAGCGGUCGCCAACAGCAACGUCAAGUUAACACGCCUGGGCCUCCGAUGUCGAAUGCCCAGGCGCUCGUGAACGCGAACGGUGCCGCUCGUCGGGCGGAAGCAGACGUGGCGGCGGCGCUGGCGGCUCAGGUGGUUCCGACUUACCCUCAGCCGACGCACGCGCAUGGUGAGUGAAGUGGAAGAACCGUGGGGGUUCCCUGUUUAUCUUUUGCUGUUCGCAAUGAGUGCAUGCCAAAGGACUUCAAAUGCCCUCGUAAGGUGCCUAACUAGACGGCGUAUCUUGAGCCGACCGCGUGGAUUGGGAGUUAACAACUCGCUAUGGACGUGCUUGAUGCGAUUGAUGCAGUGUGUGCCAAGUACCUUACAAUGAUGACAGAGGGGACGGCUCCAACAUGGUUGAAAAACCUACCACCCAAUUCCAUCAACACUUGGCCAGAGUUGAAGGAGCGAUUUAUUAAAAAUUUCUGAGGAACCUGCAAACGCCCAAUAACGAUUGUGGAUCUGCAGCACUGUAUUCAACGCAACAACGAGUCAGCUCACCAUCGGACAUGUCGGGUUGCAGAAAUCAUUCAUUCAUCAGAUGGUAUCACUGCCGCUCAAGCCGUCCUGAUCUUAGAGAAGAAUUGCCAUUUUCAGCCACUCGUCUUGAAGCUUGGUCUAUUGAAGCAAAAGGUACAUGACAUGGGCGAGUUAAUGGAUACUCUCACCAGAUAUGUCGAGUCAGAUGGCAUAAAGGACGCUAGUUCAGAUGACGACGAGGCCGAUAAGGGUAAGAAAAGUGAUAGCGCUAAGGGGAAAACUCAGAAUCCCGGACGCAAUGGUAACCCGGGGGGACAAGGAAAGUGGAGACACCCGGACGGUGGGUCUGACCUGGUAGCCAACACCAACGCCGGGUUUACGAACCAACGUUGGGGCGCUUGACCUUACAACGGGAAGAAGUCGCGCAAUUAUGAAGAGAUGCUUAAAGCACCUUGUCCUCAGCAUAGUACCCCGGAUCUUCCGGCCACUCAUUCCUUGGAAGAUUGCUUUGUUAUGCAAGAGUUCCGUCUCCAAGCUUCAAGGGGUAAUCAAGGAGGCAAUGGUGGCGGUCGACCGGGCCAGCAUGGUCCUGACGGGUCACAUGGGCGCUCGUCCGAUGGUUUCCUUGGAUCCGACAUUCAAAGCUAGGGCGGCUCAAGCAAUGGUAGCGGACAGCAACCCGACCAGAAUAACUAGCAGCAUAAUGACCAGGGUCGGUUUCAGAGCAACCCCAAGCAAUUAAACAACGGUCAGUACCAUGUCUUGACCAUGAGCACUUGCAAGCGAGAUAAAAAAAACUCAAGCAAAGAGCCGCCAAUAUGGCCGAGCUGGCGGUUCCCAGAAUCUCAAUUGGUGUGAAAACCAGUCACUUGGAGUAGGGACGAUCACCCGCCCCGAGUUGAUAACCCUGACAAUUUAGCUCUGGUCGUGGCGCCUCGGGUUGGAGGAUACACCCUCACAAAGGUUCUCAUGUAUGGAGGGAGCAACAUCAAUAUCUUAUAUUAUGACACCUUCCGGUGAAUGAACUUUUAAGAGGAUGACCUGAUGCCGUCGACAACAGUCUUUCACAGCAUAGUCCGAGGCAAGUCGGCAUACCCAGUUUGGCGGAUCAAAUUAAAUGUUGCUUUCGGCGACGAGUCCAAUUAUAGAAGCGAGGCUUUGGAGCUCAAAAUGUCGGGUCUCAAGGGUACUAUUAGAGUCAAUGGGAGUAGGAAAAUAGCUCAGGAGUGUGAGGAAGGAGAUGCUACAUAUUUUGAGUCGGCGUGCGCACCCGAUGAGUUAAAAUUCCACAGGGUCAAUGUUGACCCAGCCGACAUGAGUCCUAUCAAGAAACCUACUAUUGAUUCUGAGCCGACUCUCAAGUUCAAGCCAAUGGAUGAUAGCAAGCAAGUUGACUUCACCCCGGGCGACUCUUCUAAGUAAUUCACUAUUAGGACUGGUUUGGAUCCCAAAUAACAAAGCGCGCUCAUCGAAUUCAUCCAUGAGAAUUGGGACAUCUUUGAAUGGAAACCUUCUGACAUGCCUGGAGUGCCGAGAGAAUGCGAUGAGCACCACCUUAAUGUGGAUCCAAAGAUGAAACGAGUGCGACAAUACCUCCUCGUUUUAACGAGGAGAUACGCAAGGCCAUUGGGGAAGAAGUCGCCCGACUCUUAGCUGUCGGGUUCAUCGUCGAAGUUUUUCAUCAUGACUGGCUGGCUAACCCGGUCCUGGUUCUAAAGAAGAACGACACCUUUCACAUGUGUAUCGAUUACACCGAUCUCAACAAAGAUUGUCCAAAGGAUCUUUUUGCUCUUCCCCGUAUCGAUCAAAUCAUUGACUCUACGGUGGGUUGUGAGUGCCUGUGUUUCCUGGAUGCGUACUCAGGUUACCACCAGAUCAAGGUGGCCAAGGAGGAUCAGGAAAAGACGACUUUCUUAAACCCUUUCGGCGCUUUCUGCUACGUCUCUAUGCCCUUUGGACUUAAGAGUGUGGGGGAGACUUAUCAACGCUGCAUCCAGAACUGUUUGCACAGUUAUAUUGGACGCAAUGUUUACGCCUAUGUUGAUGAAAUUGUAGUGAAGUCUCAUAAGAAGGAAACACUCUUGGAGGAUCUAAAGAAGACAUUUGAUAAUCUUCGAGUGUACCAGAUGAAGCUUAACCCAACCAAGUGUGUUUUUGGUGUUCCUGCAGGCAAGAUACUAGGUUUCCUCGUGUCCGAGCGAGGCAUUGAAGCUAACCCGGAUAAAAUCAAGGCAAUCACUUCGCUUGAUAAGCCAGCCAACAUAAAUCAGGUCCAACGCAUGGCGGGUCGCAUGGCGGCAUUGAGCCGGUUCAUAAGUCGCCUUGGUGAGAAGGCAAUCCUUCUUUAUCAACUUCUCAAGAAGACGAAUAAUUUCAUCUAGACGGAUGCAGCUAAUGAAGCUUUCGAAGCCCUCAAAAACAAGUUGGCUGAGCCGCCCGUUUUAGCUGCCCCGACCGACAAAUAGUCCAUGCUCCUCUACAUCGCUGCUAAUUCCAAGGCAGUAAGUGUUGUAGUUGUUGUUGACUGCAAGGAAGAAGGUAAAGAAUACCCGGUUCAGUGGCUAGUGUAUUUUGUUAGUGAAGUACUGACCUUAUCCAAGCAGUGGUACCCACAUUGCAAAAGCUGAUCUUUGGAAUUUGUAUGGCAAGCCGGAAGCUAAAACACUAUUUCCAGGAGCAUCUAAUCAAUUUGGUUAUUCAUCCCCAAUUGGGGAUAUCAUACAAAAUUGAGAGGCUACAGGUCGUAUUGCUAAGUGGACAAUUGAUCUUGGCCCCCAUCAUGUGAAGUACAUGCCUCGGACAGCAAUCAAGUCCCAAGCACUAGUGGAUUUCAUCAACGAUCGGACUAAGCUUCAGCUCCCAGAGGAUAGGCCAGACAACACAUACUGGACUCUACAUUUUGAUGCCUCUAGACAAUUGGAAGGUUCGGGGGUUGGCGUCGUGUUGUCCUCUCCAAGGGGUGACAAGUUUUGUUAUGUUCUACGACUCAUGAUCCCUUGUACCAACAAUGCAGCUGAGUAUGAGGCCCUCUUACGUGGGCUCGGGAUAGCUAAGGAGAUGAACCUUAGCCGGGUCAGGUGCUUGGGCGACUCAGAUUUGGUGGCUCAACAGGUGUCUGGAACCUAGGAUUCGAAGGAUCCCUUAAUGGCGGCUUACAGAUGGGCAGUCUCCGAUGUGGCGGGUCACUUUCAUGGCUAUCAGGUUGAUCACAUUGAUCGACAGCACAACGAGGCGGCAGAUGCAUUGUCACGACUUGGAUCUCAAUGCAAGCCAGUUCCCCCUAAUGUGUUCCUAGAUGUUCUCCACAACCCCUCUCUGAAGUUACCAGUUGAGGAAGAUAUAGCCAUCCCUGACCCGGAAUUGCAGUUGGUGACGGCUCUCCGGGCGACUCCUGAUUGGAUAGUGCCAUACUUUGCUUAUCUCGCUCGAGGGGAGCUCCCGGCUGAGGAACUUGCCGCUCGCCAGAUAAUAAGACGAUGCAAGUCCAUGGUUAUUGAUCAGGUCGAGUUGUACAAGAGAAAUGUUAGUGGUGUUUCUCAUCGAUGUGUUUCCCCUGAGGAAGGACAAGAGAUCCUUAACGAAAUUCAUGCUGGCGAUUGUGUCCACCAUGCCGGCUAACAAUCUUUGGUAUCAAAAGCUUUUCGUCAUGGGCUCUAUUGGUUGACGGCUCAUGCAGACGCGGAGGAUAUAGGGCGCGAGUGUGACGGAUGUCAAGAAUUCGCCCGCCAAGCUCAUGUGUCAGCUCAAGAAUUGCAUAUGAUCCCAAUCACUUGGCCUUUUGUGGUCUGGGGCUUGAUAUGGUUGGCCCAUUCAAGAUGUCUUCCGACAAAAAGACUCAUCUACUGGUGGCAGUUGACAAGUUUACCAAGUGGGUUGAGGUGGAGCCUGUCAACAAUUGUGAAGCAGAUACAACAGUCAAGUUUCUAAAGAAGCUCAUUUUCCAAUUUGUCUAUCCUCACAAUAUUAUCACUGAUAAUGGUACCAAUUUAUGAGAAGGGGCCAUGAAGCAGUUCUGCCAGUAAGAGCAUAUCCGGCUUGAUGUGUGAGCAGUAGCACAUCCACAUUCCAACUGAUAGGCCGAGCGAGCUAAUCAGGAAAUUUUGCGAGGGAUUGAUACGUCUCCAAUGUAUCUACUUUUCCAAACUCUUUUGCCCUUGUUUUGGACUAUAAUUUGCAUGAUUUGAAUGGAACUAACCUGGACUGACGCUGUUUUCACCAGAACUGCCUUGGUGUUAUUUUUGUGCAGAAAUCAAAGUUAUCCAAAUGUCCUGAAAAUUUAUGGGGAGCGGUUUUGGAAAAUAUCAAAAAUAUCUGCGCCAAGUUCCACCUCAGGGGGUGGGCCAGUGGGCCACAAGCCCCUACUCCGCCACCACUCCCUGGUGGCGGUGGGCAGGCUUGUGGGGCCCACAGGCACCUGCCGCCACCAACUCCAGCUCUAUAAGUUGCCUUUCGUCCCAGAAAAAAUAAAAAGAUAAGUUUUCGUCGCGUUUUUGAUACGGAGGCGCCGCCACCACCUGUUCUUCAUCUGGAGGGCAGAUCUGGAGUCCGUCUUGGGCUCCGGAGAGGGGAAAUCGUUGCCAUCGUCAUCAUCAACCUUCUUCCCUCUCCAAUUACAUGAAGCUCUUCGUCGUUCGUGAGUAAUAUACUCGUAGGCUCGCUGGGCGGUGAUGAGUAGGAUGAGAUCUAUCAUGUAAUCGAGUUAGUUUUGAUGGGGAUUGAUCCCUAGUAUCCACUAUGUUCUGAGAUUGAUGUUGCUACUACUUUGCCAUGCUUAAUGCUUGUCACUAGGGCCCGAGUGCCAUGAUUUCAGAUUUGAAAUUAUUAUGUUGUCACCAAUAUAUGUGUGUUUUAGAUCCGAUCUUGCAAGUCGUAGUUACCUACUAUGUGUUAUGAUCCGGCAACCCCGGAGUGACAAUAACCGGAACCACUCCCGGUGAUGACCAUAGUUUGAGGAGUUCAUGUGUUCACCAAGUGCUAAUGCGUUGGUCUGGUUCUUUAUUAAAAGGAGAACCUUAAUAUCCCGUAGUUUCCUUUUGGACCCCGCUGCCACGGGAGGGAUGGACAAUAGAUGUCAUGCAAGUUCUUUUCCCUAAGCACGUAUGACGACACACGGAAUGCAUGCCUACAUCACAUUGAUGAACGGGAGCUAGCCACUUAUCUCUCCGUGUUAUAGCUGUUGCAUGAUGAAUAUCAUCCAAACAAAUCACCGACCCAUUGCCUACGAGUUUGUCCUACUGCUGUUACUUGUCUUGCUCUGCUGUUGCUGCUACUACUGUUGCUACUGCUGUUACUUGUCUUGCUCUGCUGCUGCUACUACUGUUGCUACUGCUGUUACUUGUCUUGCUCUGCUGCUACUACUAUUGGUGCUACUGUUGUUAGUUGUCUUGCUCUGCUGCUAUUGUUGCUACUAUUGUCGCUUGCUACUGUUGCUACUUGCUACUGCUGUCACUACUGCUGUUCCAUCCACUCCUAUUGCUCGUUACACUGCUACUACCUGCUACACUGUUGACUCACCAGACCGUUGAUGGGAAUUGACAACUUCCGUCAACGCUGCAACGGAAGCGCCAUUGAUACAAUCGUUAGGAACAGUCUGCCGUCAACAGAUCAUUUCUGACACCGUUGUUAUUAUAUUACUUUGCUGUUACUAUUGUGCUUGCAGAUACUAAUCUUUCAGGUGUGGUUGAACCCGACAAAUUCAGCUGCUAAUACUCGAGAGUAUUCUCUCACCUCCUUUUGGCGAUCUACAAAUAUGGGUCGAAUACUCUACCCUCGAAAACUGAUGCGAACCCACGUGCUGGUGGGCCUUCAACAACAUUCUUCUAGUUUCAUUACCGGGGAGUGCUAUCAGCAUUCUUCUAGUGCCGUUGCAGGACAAGGUUCGUUGUCAUAAGCAUUCGUCUAGCUAACGCCAGAGAUUGCGCAAUCAGGGAUCAAGCCCCGACUCAUGGUUCCCUUACAACGUACUCCGGGUUGUUGGGUUGAGGAGCUCCGCGUAGUCUUAGGAGCAUCGGGAUGAUGCCAAACAGAUCCACUGGUUACACGCCGUUUUUUUCUAGUUUAUGGAGCUGAGGAAGUUUUACCAAGUGAUAUACGACAUGAUUCUCCUUGGGUCGUCGCUUAUGUUGAGGCAGAAAACGAGCAGGCGCGUCAUGAUUCCUUGGAUUCCUUGGAGGAAAAGCAUGACUUGGCAGCAGCAAGAUCAGCUAUAUAUUAACAAGACCCAUGUCGCUAUCAUAGCCAUAGAGUUAUGAGCUGGAUCUUUCAGGAGGGCGACUUAGUGCUUGGAUUGAUUCAAGAUCAUACCGGCAUGCAUAAAAUUUCACCACCAUGGGAGCGUCCUGUCGUUGUUAGCAAAAGUCUUCACAAUGGCUCAUACUAUCUGAUAGACCUUCAUGCAGAUAAGCCACUUCGGAGGCGGAGACAACCUGCGAUGGAACAUCGCUCACCUUCGGCCUUACUAUACUUAGAGCCAUUGGCUCCUUAUUCAUGUACAUACUUCAAGUUUUUGUACUAUCUUCUCAACACAAUAAAGCCGGAACCCUCGAAAUUUGGGGUAUAUGUCGUUUUUGUUUAUAUCAUGAGCACGAGUCUUUAUUAUUUCCACUAAGUCGCCCAAGAGGAUGAGCCACCAUGAUAUGUUCAUUCAAACAUGGCCGUUAAUGAUUCCAAAGAGGAUAAGUCAACAUGACGCGCCAUCUAAACAUAGGUGUUAUGAGCCAAAGAGGACCAAGUUGCCAUGAUGCACGGUUCAAACAUAGGGUCCAAUUGUGGUCACUGGAUUAAAGUCAGCUUAUCUGGGGACCAGUGGUUCCCAGAUUGUUUGGCAGUAAUAGCAUUUUCUUCUCCAAUCCUAUGCUAGGCUUUUCCCUGAUCAUGGGUCACUUGCAGGCUUCCAACUCACCGAGUUUAUCUUUAUCACCCUCUUCGCUUGCGAAAAAAUAACGUUAUACGAUGGUUAGACCUCAGUGUAUGUUUGUGCGACUCUCCCAAGACCCCGUGUACUCUUGGCAAGUCAAUACAUUGUGGACCCUGAACUUGUCAAGGUUAAAACAUUGAGCAUGACGUGUGAGAGCCGGCAUAUGGAAAAAGGAGAAACCAUGGGUUAAUGUACAUGCGUCACUGAAGCUUGACUUGAGCCUGAUCGGCUAGUCUAAAUAAUAAAGGGUUAUUGCAAAAACCCGAGUUAGGGCAUGACUAGAACCUUGCAAGCUCGUCUCCCUCCCGAGUCUCACUGAGUCGGCCUAUUAAAAGUACCUUGAUGCCAUUAUAUGGUGUUACCUUUUCCAAGGAAGGAUUCAAUAAUUUAUACCGGUUCAUACAGAGUAUUCGGGUUAUGGAGCCAUUACCUUAUGAUAGCAAGAUAAAUUACAAGUGGAAAAAUUCAGAAAGGCGGCUUAUAUGGACCCGCCUGUGUUGGCUUCAACAAAAGCAUCGACACAAAAGCAUACUUGAGCUAUAUCAGCAGGCAUUGUGAAAUUCAGAUGCGAUACAAAAAGCUGCAAACAUGCACAAAGGCAUGAUACAAGCAAACAAUUUUUGCACCUACGGAUAUUACAAGGCUACAUGGAGCCCAUGUUUUUAAAUAAUCAAUACACUAACCCGGCUGAUAGUUCAUGCGGGUUAGACGCAUCUGGGUUAAUCCUGGGCAGACUUCUUGUUCAAGACGCCUCCGGCUCAUCCUGCGCCGAGCCUUCUGGGUCCUGGAUCUGGAGGUUUCUCCUAUCCCAGUUGCAAUGGAUUAAAGCGUGAAAUUCAACUUCUUCAUUCAAGAUGGGCGACGGGUCAACAUGAGGGGCAAAAAAGUGCUUAUGUCGCUGAGAAGUUAGAUCCACUGGUUCAAACGUGGGAGGCCGCACACGUGUGUUGUUCUCAUCAUAAGCCGCAUGAUAUGUCCUGAGAUUAACGCCUUCAGCUAGUUGACUAGCCUAUAUGUGAGCAGCCUUCAUGCAAUGGGAGUAAUCUUCUUGGGUAAAAGUUGACCCGUCAUCUUUAUGUUGCGGAAACCCGCGAGCUAUCUCCUCUGGGUUAAGUUCUAGUGCAUAAGCCACAGCCCGGCUAAGAGCAGCGAUGCCCCUUUACGUGUGGCUCAUUGAUACAUCCAUUUUGCAUCAUUCUUUUAUAUCGAUAUUUAUUGCAUUACGGGAUUUUAAUACACAUUAUGGUACAAUACUUACACCUUUUGUCUCUUAUUUUACAAGGUUUACAUGAAGAGGGAGAAUGUCGACAGCUGGAAUUCUGGAUCGGAAAAGGAGCAAAUCUGAGCGACCUAUUCUGCACAACUCCGAAAGUCAUGAAAACUUACACAGAAUUAUUUUGGAAUAUAUAAAAAAUAUUGGGAAAAAGAAAUACAUCAGGGGACCCACUAGGUGGCCACAAGCCAGGGGCGCAGCCUACCCUCGUGGGCGCACCCUGCAGGCUUGUGGGCUCCCUGGCAGGCCUCUGGUUCCCAUCUUCUGCUAUAUGCAGGGUUUUGACCUGAAAAAAAUCAUAUGAGAACUUUCAGGGUGAAGAGCCGCCGUCUUGAGGAGGAACUUCGGCAGAACCAAUCUAGAGCUCCGGCAGAGCUAUUCUGCCGGGGAAACUUCCGUCCCAGAGGGGAAAAUUGAAGCCAUCGUCAUCACCAGCGAUACUCUCAUCGAGAGGGGGUCAAUCACCAUGAACAUCUUCACCAGCACCAUCUCCUCUCCAAACCCUAGUUCAUCUCUUGUAUCCGAUCUUUGUCUCAAAACCUCAGAUGGUACCUGUGGGUUGCUAGUAGUGUUGAUUACACGUUGUAAUUGAUGCUAGUUGGUUUACUUGGUGGAAGAUCAUAUGUUCAUAUCCUUAAUGAUUAUUAAUACUCCUCUAACUAUGAACUUGAAUAUGCUUUGUGAGUAGUUACGUUUGUUCCUAAGGUCAUGGUAUAAGUCUUGCUAUAAGUCAUCAUAUGAAUUUGGUAUUCGUUCGAUAUUUUGAUGAGAUGUAUGUUGUCACUCCUAUAGUGGUGUCAUGUGAACGUCGAUGCUACGGCAACAAAAGUCCUUCCCCGGCAACGCCAGGAAUUCUUCUUGCUACUUCUCUUGCUUGCGUCGGUUUUUCCAUUGAAGAGGAAAGGGUGAUGCAGCACAGGAGCAGUAAGUAUUUCCCUCAGUUUGAGAACCAAGGUAUCAAUCCAGUAGGAGAAUCUCGUCAAGUCCAGAAUACCUGCACAAACACAAAGAGCUUGCACCCAACGCUAUAAAGGGGUUGUCAAUCCCUUCAAGAUUGAUUGCAAAGUGAGAUCUGAAGGCGGAAAGUGCAACGAAGGAAAAGUGUAAGGCUGAAAAUAUGGUGUGGAGUAGACCCGGGGGCCAUAGUGUUCACUAGAGACUUCUCUCAAAAUAGAAAAUAUUACGAUGGGUGAACAAAUUACUGUCGAGCAAUUCAUAGAACUGUGCAAAUUCAUGACGAUAUCUAAGGCAAUGAUCAUACAUAUAGGCAUCACGUCCGAGACAAGUAGACCGAUACUUUCUGCAUCUACUACUAUUACUCCACACAUCGACCGCUAUCUAGCAUGCAUCUAGUGUAUUGAGUUCAUGACGAACAGAGUAACGCCUUAAGCAAGAUGACAUGAUGUAGAGGGAUAAUCUCAAACCAAUGAUGAAAACCCGAUCUUUUUACCCUUGAUGGCAACAACACGAUGCGUGCCUCGCUACCCCUUCUGUCACUGGGUGAGGUCACCGCACGGUAUGAACCCAAAACCAAGCACUUCUCCCAUUGCAAGAAUCAUAGAUCUAGUUGGCCAAACAAAACCCACAACUCGAAGAGAAUUACAAGGAUAUGAAAUCAUGCAUAAGAGAGAUCAAAAGAAACUCAAAUAAGAUUCAUAGAUAAUCUGAUCAUAAAUCCACAAUUCAUCGGAUCUCGACAAACACACCGCAAAAGAAGAUUACAUCAGAUAGAUCUCCAUGAAGAUCAUGGAGAACUUUGUAUUGAAGAUCCAAGAGAGAGAAGAAGUCAUAUAGCUACUAGCUAUGGACCCGCAGGUCUAUCGUGAACUACUCACGCAUCAUCGGAGAAGUCAUGGUGUUGAUGAAGAAGCCCUCCGUGUCCAAAUCCCCCCUCUGGCAGGGCACCAGAACGUGCCCCAGAUGGGAUCUUGUGGAGACAGAAGCUUGCGGCGGCGGAAAAUACUUUCGAUGAUCUCCUGAUUUUUUUUGGGAUUUUAGGGAAUAUAUAGGCUCAAAACCUAGGGCAGAGGUGGCCCAGGGAGCCCACAAGCCAGGGUGGCAUGGGCCCCCCGGCCGCGCCAUGAGGGCUUGUGGGGUCCCUACAGGCCCCCUGCCCUGAUUCUCCGGCUUCCCGAUCUUUUUCUGUUUCGGAAAAAAUCUUUUCGGUAGUUUCAUUCCGUUUGGACUCUGUUCAAAAUCCCCAAAAAAUAUUUUCGGUAGUUUCAUUCCGUUUGGACUCUGAAAGGGGUCAAAAACAUGAAAAAACAGGAACUGGCACUUGGCACUGAGUUAAUAAGUUAGUCCCAAAAAAUAUUUAAAAGGCAUGCAAAACCAAAGUUUGACAAGAUAAUAGCAUGAAACCAUCAAAAAUUAUAGAUACGUUGGAGAUGUAUCAAGCAUCCCCAAGCUUAACUCCUGCUCGUCCUCGAGUAGGGAAGUGAUAAAGAAUGAAUUUUUGAUGUGGAAUGCUACCUAGCAUAGUUGUCCUUUGCAACUUCUUUCAUGUGACAUGAAUGUUCAGAUCUGUAAGAUUCAAAACAAUAGUUUGCUAUUGACACGAAAACAAUAACACUUCAAGCAAACUAGCAAGGUAAUCAUGAACUUUCAAAAUAACAAGGCCAAGGAAAGUUAUCCCUACAAAAUCAUAUAGUCUGGCUAUGCUCCAUCAUGCUCACACAACUAAUGUAAAUCAUGCACAACCCCAGUAUUGGCCAAGUAAUUGUUUUCGCACUCUUACUUUCUCAAACUUUUUAUAACUAUCACGCAAUACAUGAGCGUGAGCCAUGAAUAUAACACUAUAGGUGGAAUAGAGGGUGGUGGUGGUUGUGAGACAAAAAGGAGGAGAUGGUCACAUUGACUCGGCGUAUCAAAAGGCUAUGGAGAUGCCCAUUAACAGAUAUCAAUGUGAAUGAGUAGGGAUUGCCAUACAAAGGAUGCACUAGAGCUAUAAGUAUGUGAAAGCUCAAAAGUAGAACUAGUGGGUGUGUAUCCAACUUGCUUGCUCACGAAGACCUAGGGCAAUUUUGAGGAAGCCCAUCAUUGGAAUAUACAAUCCAAGUUAUAUAAUGAAGAUUCCCACUAGUAUAUGGUGGUGACGAAACGAGAGGCUCUCAAUCAUGAAGAAAAUGGUGCUAUUAUGAAGCACAAGUGUGGAAUGUAACAACCCAAAAUUAUAAAUUUUGGAAUGUUAAUAAUAUUAUUAGAAUGAUUGUUUGUUUGAUUGAGUAAUUGAAACUUGAGUGAAAUUUGAAACUUUUCAAAAAAACUUUUGAAUGAGAGGGAAUAAAAUGACUUUCCCCAUCUCCGGUAAAUUCAAAUUCAAUCUUUUAAAAGCAAAGAGAGUAGAUGACAUGACUUCUUCAACUAUAAAUAAUUUGAACGGAGAUAUUUGCAUUUGAAUUCUUUUGCAUUUCCAUUUGUUUUCUUUGUGCAAGAAAUGUCGGGAAAUACAUUCUAGAGAGGAGGAACAACACCCUCAAACACCCGGGCAUUUUGAAAGUUAUUUGAACCCUAAAACUUAGAGGGUCUUUUGAAAAUUAUUUGCAAAAGAAAAUAAAUCUUUUAGGCAAAUUUGUGAAAAUAUUUUUUUCUGAAGUUUUUAUUUUUGCCGUGGAAAAAUGCCCAUCAUUUAUAUUUUAUUUUUCUGACAAUUUUAGUAUAUAGAAACUCUUUAUUCCGAAUUGAUUUGAAUUCCCUUUUAUCGUUUUAGUUUCCUAGUUUUAAAAAUAGGAAAGAAAUCUCUAUUUAAUGGAAAUAAGAGCUGGCCCAUUAAGACCUUUCCCUAUUUUGGCCCAACAGAAGAUCAUCUCCUACCUCUCCUCUUCUUCACGUCACAGCAAGCUUUCCAUCCAUGGAGGAAGGAAUUCUCUCCUUCCCGAUCUCCCUCUUCUUUCCUUCCGGACGCCAUCCGAGACCGCCUAUAAAUUCCCACCGUCCUCCUCUCUCCGUUUUUCCCCUUUCCCAACCCCAUCUCCCCUGCCACGUCGCCCCGCCCAAACCUCGCCGGAGCCACUGCCAAGACAAGCCAGCAGCAUCUGCAUGAGCCCCCAUCGCCCCUGCACCCCCUCCUCCACCUCGUUGCACCCUCCCCUCCCUGCCGAGCCCACCCCUCCACCCUUCGGCCCCUCCACCCNCCUCACCGGCAACCCCCACCCCCGCCGGAGUUGCCCCCCUCGCCGGAGAAGGCCCCAGCCAUUGCCAGCGAGGGAGUUACUCCCAGCCAGUGCUGCUCACCACGGUAAGGCCCCCUCUUUCUUUUUUUUACUUGUUUUGUUUUUUUAGUUUUACCCUUAGAUCUAUUCUCAACGGUGUAGAUUAGAGUAGGAUAACCUUUCGGUUUUUAAACAAAAACCGCUGGUUUUUAUUCACUUAACUUUUAGCUAGAGAACUUUUUCUUAUACUUCGGCCAUUCGCUGUUUAGCCUAUGCCACGCACACCCAUCAGCCAAUCAGAAGCCGCCACAUGGAUUCCCUAUUUGUUUUAUUUUUCAGAUUUAGUUCAAAAACAGAAAAGUUCCAAUCUUGUUUAGCCCAUAACUUUUGAUCCAUAAGUCCAAUGAUGUUCAUUCUUUUUCCAGUAGCUCAAAAAUUUCCUGUAGUUGUUAAAACAUAUAAUUUGUCUAUGUUUGGAAUUUUCAAAUUUGAGUUAGAUCAGAUUUAGUUUAAACCUUGUUUUGCGUAUUCCAGGAGUUUAAAAAUAGAUUCGAAUUUGAUUCCUUUUGGUGCUGACCACUAGUGAUCUUAUUUAUCAGUGGUAAAAAUUUCAGAUUUGUUUGAGUAUUUUAGCGUAUGGUUUCUUGUGAAACAAUUUCUGUUUCACCUCUUUUAGGAUUUCGGCUAAUUCCUUUUCUAUUUUUGUUUUAAAAUAUUUUCCUUAUUAUUUCAGAAAGAUUAUUGUUUUGUUUAUGUUAGUAAACAGUAGUUUUACAACAAGUUUUGAUUUUAUUUUUAUUUGUUAUCAUGAAAUCAAUUCUAGUUCCUUAGUAACUUGUAAUUGGUUUCCGCACUGUUUCAAAUCCCGUUUGGGAAUACUUUCAAAAAGUUUUGUGAAAAAUACUUUAUUUUAUCUUAGUUAGAUUUAUAUCUUAGUUCCUUGUUAUUAUUUUCUGUUGGACAAAUAUCAUUUAGUGUUUGAUGUAGUAGAGGACUCUCUAGUCUUAUUUGAAGUUUCCUUCGGAUUCCUAUUCUCUCUCUCUUUGGUUUUGAUUGUUAGAAUGAUUGCUAGUAUGAGUGCUUAUGUGAAUGAUAUGUUUGCUAUAUAGAUUUCAUCGGAGAGUGACGAGUAGUCUAUCAAGUUAUUUCUCGAGAAAUUCUUCUUCGUCAACAUCACGAGGCAAGUCACUUUGAUCAUACUAUCACCUAUGUUUUAUGCAUCGUAGUUCUACCAUCCUAUGCCCAAUUGCAUGCUGCUUAGGUACUUGGAAAUUUUAGUAUAGAUUGUAGUAUCAUGUGGUAGGUACACAACAACCCCGAUACUUGGCCCCGGGACGAAAAAUUUCAUAUUGCUAUGCUUGAGUAGACGAGAUUUCGGUUGAGUGCAUAACAUGAGUGAUGCGAGGUUGAUAAAUAAUCAAGACCGGUUAAGACAAGAUUUUCAAGACCUCAGACGCAAUGCAACUCUGGGUGAAGGACGGUUGAUCGGCUCCCUGGAGAACCCAGUGGAUGACCCGGGAUGCUGGGGACGGCCAUGACAUCCUGCGAAAAGCUUCACCCAUGCUCAAAGAGACGGACGGAUACUUUCAAGACCCAAGGCUUACGUGCACAGCCACAAGUCAUCAUGGGCUCUGGCUUGGUUGGACAACGCGGCGACUCUGGACAGGCGGUGCUAGCAGAGGUAGAAGAACGGUAGGAAUGGAUGGGCACCGAGAGGGAUUCAGAGGGACCCGUUGAAUGACCAUGUUUUGAUCAUCUGGUGUUCAAACACCCUAAAGUGCGAGGACAUACACGGAGGCGAUCAAAUCUUGUGUGGAACAUGUGCAAAAGUCUGCAGAGUACUCAAACCUAAUCGAUUAGCUGUGUCCACGGUCAUGGACAACUUGAGCCAAAGGAACUGAAGUUAUCUGGAUUUCUCAACACCAUUAAAUAUAUUUGAUGAGGGUAAUUAUUGACAACUCGGAGAGAACUGGUUGGCGGAACCAUCUCGUUAACAACCAACAAUGUAGUAACAUUUUGCUUUUAGCCCUCUCUCGAUGUAGGAGAAAACUUGCUUUUUCGCUAAAAACUUAUAGCCCCACCUGCCAUAUAUGCAUAUAGUAUAGAUGAUUACUUUUCACCCCUCUCUUAUGUGACUUGCCGGCAUAUUCAAUAUGCUGACCUACACGGCUGCAACGUCCUAUGUUGCAGAUAUUUUUCUUUGACGAGUAAGAGUACGAUUCAGGGUUACGGUCUACACUCAACUUGCCGUUGGUGUUUAUUGGGACUCCACUCCCUUGACCGCUUCCGCUGAGAUAUUUAAGGUAUAUAUCAGUUUUACGCUAUUUACAUGUGAUUGCACUUUGAUAUAUACAUUGAUGUACUGUGUGUGCCAGCAUACUGAUCCAGGGAUGGCACAGAUACACAGAGGCUUGACUCGUUUUGAGUCGGGUCGCUACAUGGAAAAAGAUAGUAGCAUUAUCCCUUCUCUCUUUUUUUAUUUGGGCUCUUGGGCCUCUUUUUUUCUCUUUUUUUGUUUUUUCUCUUUUUUUUGUUUGGUCUCUUUGGCCUCUUUUUUUAUUUCCUCACAUGGGACAAUGCUCUAAUAAUGACGAUCAUCACACUUUUAUUUACUCACAGCUCAAAGCUUAGAACGAUGAUGACUCUAUAGGUGAGAGUGACGACACAAGUCAUGAGACGGAACGGUGGGAGUUGCAUGGCAAUAUAUCUCGGAGUGGCUAUGAAAAUGCCAUAGUAGGUAGGUAUGGUGGCUGUUUUGAGGAAGGCAUAUGGUGGGUUUGUGUACCGGCGAAAGUUGCGCGACACUAGAGAGGCUAGCAAUGGUGGAAGGUGAAAGUGCAUAUAUACCAUGGACUCACGUUAGUCAUGAAGAACUCACAUACUUGUCGCGAACUUUUUUUUGUAAUUGAAAGAAAGUGCUAAACGCAUACUCCUAGGGGAAGGGUUGGUAGGUGUUAACCAUCGCGUGAUCCCGACCUCGACACAAAGGAUGACAAUCAAUAGAUCAAUUAUGCUCCGACUUCCUAACAUAGCGGUUCACCAUACGUGCAUGCUACGGGAAUCACUAACUUCAACACAAGUAUUUCUAGAUUCACAACACCUUACUAACAUAACUCUUAAUAUUACCAAAUCCACGUCUCAAAACUAAUUGAUAGGAAUCAAUACUUCUCUUUCUACACAAUGCACAUGAAGAUGGCGGUUUUUGUAUCCUCUUUGGGUACCUAUCACCUUUGGGACUACUUUCAUAGCAAAAGCGAACUACCAAGUCACGCACCGCCGUGCUCUAAAAGAUAUAAGUGAAGCACAAAGAGCAAAAUUAUCUAGCUCAAAAGAUAUAAGUGAAGCGCUAUGAGCAUUCUAGCAAAAUCACGAUGAGUGCAUGUCUAUCUCUCUCAAAAGGGUGUGAAGCAAGGAUGAUUGUGACACAACAAAAAGAAAAGACUCCUACAAAGCAAAACACAUAUAAUGUGGUGAAUAAAAAUAUAGCUCCAAGUAAUGUUACCGAUGGAUUGAAGACGAAAGAGGGGAUGCCUUCCUGGGGCAUCCCCAAGCUUAGGCUUUUUGGUGUCCUUGAAUUUGGCUUGGGAUGCCUUGGGCAUCCCCAAGCUUGAGCUCUUUCCACUCCUUAUCUCUUUGUCCAUGAGAACAUCACCCAAAACUUGAAAAGUUCACAACACAAAACUUAAACAGAAACUCGUGAUAACAUUAGCACAAGAAAACAAACUACCACCUCUUUUGGUACUGUAGAAAACUUGAAUUCUAUCUAUAUUGGUGUUGGGUACUGUAUUCUCACUUUGCCAUGACUAGUACCCCCCGAUACUAACCAUAGUUUCAUCAAAACAAGCAACCAACUCAACAAAAACAGAAUCUGUCAAAAACAAACCAGCAUGUAGCAAUCUGUAUACUUCGUAUACUUUUGGUACCUCAAAAAUUCUGAAAAUUACGAAUGCCUGGGAAAAAGGCAUAUAAACCAGCAGCAAAAAGAAUCAACUCAAAAUCUCUUUCCCAAUAAAAAUGAAAAAUCAUCUCGUGAGCGAAAAGUUUCUGUCUUUUUCCAGCAGGAUCAAACAACCAUUACCAAGACUAGUUAUAAAGGUUUUGCUUGGCUCAAACACAAAAAGAAACACAAAAAACACAAUCACAACAGAAUUGUGAUGGUGUGGACGCAACAAAACAGAAAGAAAAAAGAUAAAUUCAAUGGGUUGCCUCCCAACAAGCGCUAUUGUUUAACGCCCUUAGCUAGGCAUUGAUAAUUCAACGAUGCUCUCACAAAAGACAAGAAUUGAAGCACAACGAGAGCAUCAUAAAGCAGGUGAAAAUCACAUCUAAGUCUAACAUACUUCCUAUGCAUAGGCAUUUUAUAGGAAAACAUAUUGUCAAGACAACCAAUAGUUACCAUAUGCAAGGAAGAAGAAAGAGACAAUAGCAAUCUCAACAUAACGAGAGGUAAUUUGGUAACAUGAAAGUUUCUACCACAAUAUUUUCCUCUCUCAUAGCAAUUACAUGUGGGAUCAUGAAUGAAUUCAACAAUAUAACCAGCACCUACAACAUUCUUUUCAUGACCCACAUGCAUGCAAAUUUGACGCUCUUCAAAAAUAGUGGGAUUAUCAUCAACUAAAGUCAUGACUUCUCCAAACCCACUUUCAAUAUUAUUGCAAACAUCAUAUUCAUCAUGAGUCUUAAACAAAUUUUUAAGAUGAUAAGAAAAAUCAUUGCCCCAAUCAUGAUCAUUGCAACAAGUAGUGGACAUCGAAAAACUAGCAUCCCCAAGCUUAGGGUUUUGCAUAUUAUUAGCAUGAUUGUCAUUAAUAGAAUUUAUAUUGAAAUCAUUGCAAUCAUGCUUUUCAUUCAAGGAGCCCUCGUGAAUCAUUUCAUAAAUUUCUUCAUCACGAUUUUCAGAUUCACGCAUCUCAAGCAAAACUCCAUAGAGAAAGUCAAGUGCACUCAACUCACUAGCAAUUGGUUCCACAUAAGUGGAUCUCUUAAAGAGAUUAGCAAGUGGGUGAGGAUCCAUAUCACUAGAUUUUCAGCAAGCGAAGAUGCAAGCAUAUUGAAGGCACAUAGCACACAAGCAAAGGAAAGGCAAACAAAAAAGGCAAAUUGGUGAAGUGGGGGAGAGGAAAAUGAGAGGCAACUGGCAAACAAGGUAAAUGGAAGAGAUGAGUUUGCGACACUUACUUGGAUGAGUUCUUGACUUGAUCCUCCCCGGCAACGAUGCCAGAAAUUAUUCUGCUACGGCGACAAAAGUCCUUCCCCGGCAACGCCAGGAAUUAUUCUUGCUACUUCUCUUUCUUGCGUCGGUUUUUCCCUUGAAGAGGAAAGGGUGAUGCAGCACAGGAGCAGUAAGUAUUUUCCUCAGUUUGAGAACCAAGGUAUCAAUCCAGUAGGAGAAUCUCGUCAAGUCCAGAGUACCUGCACAAACACAAAGAGCUUGCACCCAACGCUAUAAAGGGGUUGUCAAUCCCUUCAAGAUUGAUUGCAAAGUGAAAUCUGAAGGCGGAAAGUGCAACGAAGGAAAAGUGUAAGGCUGAAAAUAUGGUGUGGAGUAGACAUGGGGGCCAUAGUGUUCACUAGAGGCUUCUCUCAAAAUAGAAAAUAUUACGGUGGGUGAACAAAUUACUGCCGAGCAAUUGAUCGAACCGCGCAAAUUCAUGACGAUAUCUAAGGCAAUGAUCAUACAUAUAGGCAUCACGUCCGAGAAAAGUAGACCGAUACUUUCUGCAUCUACUACUAUUACUCCACACAUCGACCGCUAUCCAGCAUGCAUCUAGUGUAUUGAGUUAAUGACGAACAGAGUAACGCCUUAAGCAAGAUGACAUGAUGUAGAGGGAUAAUCUCAAACCAAUGAUGAAAACCCCAUCUUUUUACCCUUGAUGGCAACAACACGAUGCGUGCCUCGCUACCCCUUCUGUCACCGAGUGAGGUCACCGCACGGUAUGAACACAAAACCAAGCACUUCUCCCAUUGCAAGAAUCAUAGAUCCAGUUGGCCAAACAAAACCCACAACUCGAAGAGAAUUACAAGGAUAUGAAAUCAUGCAUAAGAGAGAUCAGAAGAAACUCAAAUAAGAUUCAUAGAUAAUCUGAUCAUAAAUCCACAAUUCAUCGGAACUCGACAAACACACCGCAAAAGAAGAUUACAUCGGAUAGAUAUCCAUGAUGAUCAUGGAGAACUUUGUAUUGAAGAUCUAAGAGAGAGAAGAAGCCAUAUAGCUACUAGCUAUGGACCCGUAGGUCUAUGGUGAACUACUCACGCAUCAUCGGAGAGGUCAUGGUGUUGAUGAAGAAGCCCUCCGUGUCCAAAUCCCCCCUCCGACAGGGUACCAGAACGUGCCCCAGAUGGGAUCUUGCGGAGACAGAAGCUUGCGGCGGCGGAAAAGUACUUUCGAUGAUCUCCUGAUUUUUUCUGGGAUUCUAGGGAAUAUAUAGGCGCAAAACCUAGGGCAGAGGUGGCCGAGGGAGCCCACAAGCCAGUGUGGCAUGGGCCCCCCUGGCCGCGCCAUGAGGGCUUGUGGGAUCCCUGCAGGCCCCUGAUGUCAGCUGUGCUUCCCUUGCAACGGCGCCAGAUAUACUUCUGCUACCUCAAAAAGAUCUCCGGCAACGACGCCGGAAAUUGACGUAGACGGCACCAGGAAUCCUUCAGCUGCGGCUACGCCUUAAGGGACUUCCUAGGCAAGUAUGCAAAGGAUUUCCCCCGUGGCCUUGGAGCCUUGCGUUGGUGUUCCCUCGAAGCGGAAAGGGUGAUGUAGCACAGCGGUGGUAAGUAUUUCCCUCAAUUUGAGAACCAAGGUAUCAAUCCAAUGGAGGAGUAUCUCAAGAUCCUGCACAAACACAAAAACUUGCUCCCAACGCUAUGAAGGGGUUGUCAAUCCCUUAUAGAUUGUUUGCCAAGUGAGAACUGAAAGCAACAAUGUAACAAAGCAAAGUAAAAGCGGAGGUGUAAAAGAUGGAUGUGAAUAGACCCGGGGGCCGUAGUGUUUACUAGUGGCUUCUCUCAUGAAAGCAAGUAGACGGAGGGUGAACAAAUUACUGUCGAGCAAUUGAUAGAACCGCGCAAAGUCGUGACGAUAUAUAUGCGAUGAUUAUAUCUAUAGGCAUCACGUCCAAAACAAGUAGACCGAUACUUUCUGCAUCUACUACUAUUACUCCACACGUUGACCGCUAUCUAGCAUGCAUCUAGUGUAUUAAAUCCAUAAGAACAGAGUAAUGCCUUAAGCAAGAUGACAUGAUGUAGAGGGAUAAUCUCAAACCAAUGAUAAAAACCACAUCUUUUUACCCUUGAUGUCAACUACUUGAUGUGUGCCUUGCUGCCCCUACUUUCACUGGGAAAGGUCACCACAUGGCAGAACCCAAAACCAAGCACUUCUCCCAUUGCAAGAAUAAUAGAUCUAGUUGGACAAACAAAACCCAAGACUCGGAGAGACUUACAAGGAUAUCAAAUCAUGCAUAUAAGAAAUCAGCAAAGACUCAAAUAUAUAUGUCAUAGAUAAUCUGAUCAUAAAUCCACAAUUCAUCGGAUCUUGACAAACACACCGCCAAAGAAGAUUAAAUCGGAUAGAUCUCCAUGAAGAUCAUGGAGAACUUUGUAUUGAAGAUCCAAGAGAGAGAAGAAGCCAUCUAGCUACUAACUACGGACCCGUAGGUCUUAAGUGAACUACUCACGAGUCAUUGGAGGGGCGAUGAUGAUGAUGAUGAUGAAGCCCUCCAACUCCAAAGUCCCCUCCGAUAGGGCGCCGGGAAGGGUCUCCAGAUUAGUUCUCGCGGAAACGGAAGCUUGCGGCGGCGGAAAAGUAUGUUCGAGGCUCCCCUGAUUUUUGGCGGAAUAUUUGGGAAUUUAUAAGCCAAAGACCUAGGUCAGGGGGCGGCCAGGGAGGCCACAAGCCUGCCCACCGCCGCCUCCCCCCUAGUGGCGGAGUGGGGGCUUGUGGGCUCCCUGGAGCCCACCUGGCUUGGCCCAAAAGCCCCCUGGUCUUCUUCCGUUCGGGAAAAAAUCAUUUCGGGGUUUUUCUUCCGUUUGGACUCCGUUCCAAAAUCAAAUCUGAAAAGAGUCAAAAACACGGAAAAACGGGAACUGGCACUUGGCACUGAAUUAAUAAGUUAGUCUCAAAAAAGAUAUAAAAGGUACAUAAAACAACCAAAGAAGAUAAGAUAACAGCGUGAGACCAUCAAAAAUUAUAGAUACGUUUGAGACGUAUCAAGCAUCCCCAAGCUUAACUCGUGCUCGUCCUUGAGUAGGGAAGUUAUAAGAAUGAAUUUUUGAUGCUUUCAUGCUACCUAGCAUAGGUGUCCUUUGUAAUUACUCUUAUGUGACGUGAAUGUUCAGAUCCAUUAGAUUCAAAACAAUAGUUUGCUAUUGAUGUGGAAACAAUAAUAAUUCAAGCAAACUAGCAAAGUAAUCAUGAACUUUCAAAAUAACAAGGCCAAAAUAAAGUUAUCCCUACAAAAGCAUAUAGUCUCGCUAUGCUCUAUCAUCAUCGCACAAAGAAUUUAAAUCAUGCACAACCCCGGUAGUGGCCAAGUAAUUGUUUCACACCUUUACUUUCUCAAACCUUUUCAACUCUCGCACAAUAUAUGAGCGUGAGCCAUGGUUAUAGCACUAUAGAUGGUGUGGAGUGUGGUGGAGGUUGCAAGAUAAAAAAGAGAAGAUAGUCACAUUAACUAGGCAUAUCAAUGAGCUAUGGAGAUGCUCAUCAAUAGAUAUAAAUGUGAAUGAGUAGGGAUUGCCAUACAAAUGAUGCACUAGAGCUAAGAGUAUUUGAAAGCUCUUAAAGAAAACUAGUGGGUGUGCAUCCAACUUGCUUGCUCACGAAGACCUAAGGCAAUUUUGAGGAAGCCUAUCAUAGGAAUAUACAAGCCAAUUUAUAUAAUGAAAAUUUCCCACUAGUUAUAUGGUGGUGACAAAACGAGAGACUCUCAAUCAUGAAGAUCAUGGUGCUUAAUAUGCACAAGUGUGGAAAAAGUGGUAGCAUUGUCCCUUCUCUCUUUUUCUCUCAUUUUUUUUUAUUUGGUGGGCUCUUUGGCCUCUUUUAUUAUUAUUAUUUUGGUGGGCUUCUUUGGCCUCUUUUAUUUCCUCACAUGGACAAUGCUCCAUUAAUGAUGAUCAUCACACUUUCAACUCAAAACUUAGAGAAACUAUGACUCUAUAUGGAAUGCCUUCGGUAGUGUACCGUGGCAAUGAUCUAGCAUGGCAUAGACAUCAAUGGAAACAUCAUGCUAGCUAUCUUAUGACCAUGCAAUGGCAAUGUAGACGUGGUGGCACAUGUCAUGAUGGUAGUUGCAUAGCAAUAUAUCUCGGAAUGACUAUGAAAAAGCCAUAGUAGGUAGGUAUGGUGGCUGUUUUCAGGGAGGCUGAUGGGGGGUUUUGUGCACCGGCGAAAGUUGCACGGCACUAAGAAGAUAGUGAUGGUGGAAGGUGAAAGUGCAUCUAAACCAUGGACUCAACAUUAGUCAUGAAGAACUCAUAUACUUGUUGCAAAAGUUUUAUUAGUAAUCAAAACAAAGCAUUCAACGCAUACUCCUAGGGGAAGGGUUGGUAGGUAUAAACCAUCGCGCGAUCCCGACCGCCAAGCAAAGGAUGACAAUCAAUAGACUAAUCAUGCUCAGAUUUCAUCACAUAGCGGUUCACCAUACGUGCAUGCUACGGGAAUCACUAACUUCAACACAAGUAUUUCUAGAUCCACAACACCUUACUAGCUUGACUUCAAUAUUACCAUAACCACAACUCAAAACUAAUUGAGAUGAAUCAAACUUCUCUAACUAUUCAAUGCACAUGAAGGUGGAAGUUUUCGUAUCCAUUUGGAUAACUACCCCUUUUGAGACUACCUUCAAAGCAUAGAUCAACUACCAAGCCACGCACCGCUGUGCUCUAAAAGAUAUAAGUGAAGCACAUAGAGCAAAAGUAUCUAUCUCAAAAUAUAUAAGUGAAGCACCUGUGAGCUGAAUUGUCUACCAAAGGAUAUAAGUGAAGCUCGACAAAAUCACGAUGUGUGCAUGUCUCUCUCUCUAGGUGUGCAGCAAGGAUUAUUGUGACACAACAAAAAUAAAAGACUCCUACGAUACAAGAUGCUCCAAGAAAAAACACAUAACAUGUGGUGAAUAAAAAUAUAGCCCCAAGUAACGUUACCGAUGGAUUGAAGACGAGAGAGGGGAUGCCUUCCCGGGGCAUCCCCAAGCUUAGGCUUUUACGGCAUCCUUGAAUCUCCUGGGGUGCCUUGGGCAUCCCCAUGCUUGAGCUCUUGCCACUCUUUAUCUCUUUGUCCAAAAGAACUUCACCCAAAACUUGAAAACUUCACAACACGAAACUUAAACAGAAACUUGUGAUAACAUUAGUACAAGAAAGCAAACCACCACUUCCUUAGGUACCGUAGCAACUUAAAUUAUACUUGUGCUGAUGUUGGGUUACUGUACUUUCAAUCUUCCAUGGCUAAUACCCCCCGAUACUAUCCAUAGUUUCAUCAAAAUAAGCAACCAACACAACAAAAACAGAAUCUGUUAACAGUAGUCCAGUCUGUAGCAAUCUGUAUAUUUCAUAUACCUAUGGUACUUCAAAAAUUCUGAACAAUUACUACAGUCUGAAGAAUUUGUGUAGAAAUCAGCAGAAAAAAGAAUCAACUCAAAAUCUCUUACAGAAUAGAAAAUGAAAAUUCUUUUCGUGAGCAGAAAGUUUCUGUCUUUUCCAGCAUGACCAAACGAUCAUCCCCAAGACUAAUCAUAACGGUUUUGCUUGGCACAAACGCAAAAGGAAACACAAAAAACACAAUCAUAACAGAAUUAUGAAAGUGUGGAAAACACAAAACAGAAAGAAAAACGAUAGAUUUGUUGGGUUGCCUCCCAACAAGCGCUUUUGUUUAACGCCCUUAGCUAGGCGAAAGGUGAUGAAAUCACGUAUAGUCAUCUUUGGUGCUCAAACCAUAGGUAACCCUCAUCAUAGAUUCAUAAGGCAAUCUUAUUUUCUUUCUAGGAAAAUGCUCCAUGCCCUUCUUUAAAGGAAAUUGAAAUCUAAUAUUCCCUUCCUUCAUAUCGAUGAUAGCACCAAUAGUUCUUAGGAAAGGUCUACCAAGAAUAAUGGGACAUGAAGGAUUGCAAUCUAUGUCAAGUACAAUGAAAUCCACGGGUACAUAGUUCUUAUUUGCAACAAUAAGAACAUCAUCGAUCCUUCCCAUGGGUUCCUUGACAGUAGAAUCCGCAAGAUGCAAAUUAAGAGAACACUCUUCAAUCUCAUGAAAACCAAGAAUAUCACAUAAAGACUUUGGAAUCGCGGAAACACUAGCACCCAAAUCACACAAAGCAUCGCACUCAUAGUUUUUGAUCUUGAUUUUGAUAGUAGGUUCCCACUCAUCAUGAAGUUUUCUAGGUAUAGAGACUUCUAGUUCGAUCUUCUCUUCAAAAGAUUUCAUCAUAACAUCUACGAUAUGCGCGGUAAAGGCUUUGCUUUGGCUAUAAGCAUGUGGAGAGUUUGCAAUGGAUUGCAUCAAAGAAAUGCAUUCAAACAAGGAGCAAUUAUCAUAGUUGAAUUCCUUGAAAUCCAAAGUGGGAGUUUCAUUACUACCCAAAAUUUUGAGUUCUUCUACUCCACUCUCCACACCUUUAUCAUCAAGAUAGGUGGACCCCGAAUCAUUGGGAGUUUUUCAACCAAAGUGGAUUCAUAUCCAGCCCCUCCAUAAGUAGGUUUGACACGCGAAAACAAAGAUUCAAGAGGAGACACACCAAGCACUUUAAGAUCUUCGUGAUUUGCAUCACUAGAACGCACCCUUUUAAACCAUUCAUGUCUAGCGCGAAUCUGGGUGGUUCUUUCUUUGCUCUCAUUCAUGGAGAUACGCAUAGCUUUCAAAGUUUCAUCCAAGUUGACCUUGGGAGGAGCGUAUCUAACUUUCAAAGCAUCAAUAUCACAAGACAUCCUAUCAACGCUUUUAGCCAAAUCGUCUAUUUUGAGUAGUUUUUCUUCUAUGGACGCAUUGAAAAUCUUUUGAGAGUUGAUGAACUCUUUGAUAUUACUCUCUAAAUCAGAGGGUAAUUUGUUGUGAUUUCCAUAAGUGUUGUCGUAGGAAUUGCCAUAAUUGUUAGAGGAGUUACUAGGAAAAGGCCUAGGAACAUAGUUUCCUCUAAAAGCAUCGUUGUUGCCAAAAUUGUUCCUACCAACAAAAUUCACGUCCAAACUAGCGUUGCUACUCUCAAUCAAAGAAGAUAGUGGGAUGUCAUUAGGAUCUACGGUAGCGUUUCUACUAGCAACCAAAUUCAUCAACUCGUCCAUCUUAGCACUAAGCGAGUUAAUCUCUUCUAUAGCGUGCACCUUUUUGCUAGCAGGCGACCUUUCAGUGUGCCACUGAGAGUAGUUGGUCAUGAUAUUGUCUAGGAGUUUUGUAGCGUCUCCUAACGUGAUUUCCAUGAACGUUCCACCUGAGGCGGAGUCCAAGAUAUUGCGAGAAGCGAAAUUCAAGCCAGCGUAAAAGAUUUGUAUAAUCAUCCACAAACUCAAGCCAUGAGCGGGACAUUUUCUAAUCAUAAGCUUCAUCCUCUCCCAAGAUUGUGCAACGUGUUCAUGAUCAAGUUGCUUGAAAUUCAUGAUAUCGUUACGUAAGGAGAUGAUCUUAGCCGGCGGAAAAUACUUGGAUAUGUAAGCAUCUUUGCACUUAUCCCAAGAAUCAAUACUAUUUUUAGGCAAAGAAGAAAACCAAGUUUUUGCACGAUCUCGCAACGAGAAAGGAAAAAGUUUUAACUUAAUCAUGUCAUUAUCCACAUCUCUUUUCUUUUGCAUAUCGCAAAUCUCAAUGAAGGUAUUGAGAUGGGAUGCGGCAUCUUCACUAGGAAGGCCAGAGAUUUGCUCUUUCAUAACAAGAUUCAGCAAGGCUGCGUUGAUUUCAUACGAUUCCGCACUAGUGGCGGGAGCAAUCGGGGUACUAAUAAAAUCAUUAUUAUUAGUGCUCGAGAAGGCGCAAAGUUUGGUGUUUUCAGACAUGAUGUCUUCAACAAAAAAACAAGCACACAAGCAAGCAAGAAAACCGGCAAAGGCAAAAGAAAACGGCGAAGGCGAAAGGCGAAUGAAAACGGCAAAUGUGAAGUGGGGGAGAGGAAAACGAGAGGCAACUGGCAACAAAAGUAAAUGCAAGAGAAGAGUUUGUGAGACCUACUUGGAUAGAUCUUGAUUUCUCCUCUCCGGCAACGGUGCCAGAAAUACUUCUGAUGCCAGCUGUGCUUCCUUGCAACGGCGCUAGAUAUACUUCUGCUACCUCAAAAAGAUCUCCGGCAACGACACCGGAAAUUGUCGUGUCGACGGCACCAGGAAUCCUUCAGCUGCGGCUACGCCUUAAGGGACUUCCUAGGCAAGUAUGCAAAGGAUUUCCCCCGUGGCCUUGGAGCCUUGCGUUGGUGUUCCCUCGAAGCGGAAAGGGUGAUGUAGCACAGCGGUGGUAAGUAUUUCCCUUAGUUUGAGAACCAAGGUAUCAAUCCGAUGGAGGAGUAUCUCAAGAUCCUGCACAAACACAAAAACUUGCUUCCAACACUAUGAAGGGGUUGUCAAUCCCUUAUAUAUUGUUUGCCAAGUGAGAACUGAAAGCAACAAAGUAACAAAGCAAAGUAAAAGCGGAGGUGUAAACGAUGGAUGUGAAUAGACCCAGGGGCCGUAGUAUUUACUAGUGGCUUCUCUCAUGAAAGCAAGUAGACGGAGGGUGAACAAAUUACUAUCGAGCAAUUGAUAGAACCGCGCAAAGUCGUGACGAUAUCUAUGCGAUCAUUAUAUCUAUAGGCAUCAUGUCCAAAACAAGUAGACCGAUACUUUCUCAUCUACUACUAUUACUCCACACGUCGACCGCUAUCCAACAUGCAUCUAGUGUAUGAAGUCCAUAAGAACAGAGUAACGCCUUAAGCAAGAUGACAUGAUGUAGAGGGAUAAUCUCAAACCAAUGAUAAAACCCCAUCUUUUUACCCUUGAUAGCAACUACUUGAUGUGUGCCUUGCUGCCCCUACUGUCGCUGGGAAAGGUCACCACAUGGUAGAACCUAAAACCAAGCACUUCUCCCAUUGCAAGAAUAAUUGAUCUAGUUGUCCAAACAAAACCCAAGACUCGGAGAGACUUACAAGGAUAUCAAAUCAUGCAUAUAAGAAAUGAGCAAAGACUCAAAUAUAUCUCAUAGAUAAUCUGAUCACAAAUCCACAAUUCAUCGGAUCUCGAUGAACACACCACCAAAGAAGAUUACAUCGGAUAGAUCUCCAUGAAGAUCAUGGAGAACUUUGUAUUGAAGAUCCAAGAGAGGGAAGAAGCCAUCUAGCUACUAACUACGGACUCAUAGGUCUUAAGUGAACUACUCACGAGUCAUUAGAGGGGCGAUGAUGAUGAUGAAGAAGCCCUCCAACUCCAAAGUCCCCUCCGGCAGGGCGCCGGAGAGGGUCUCCAGAUGAGAUCUCGCGGAAACGGAAGCUUGCAGUGGUGGAAAAGUAUUUUCAAGGCUCCCCUGAUUUUUUGCAGAAUAUUUGGGAAUUUAUAGGCCAAAGACCUAGGUCAGGGGGCGGUCAGGGAAGCCACAAGCCUGCCCACCGCCGCCUCCCCCUGGUGGCGGAGUGGGGGCUUGUGGGCUCCCUGGAGCCCACCUGUCUUGGCCCAAAAGCCCCCUGGUCUUCUUCCGUUCGGGAAAAAAUCAUUUCGGGGUUUUUCUUCCGUUUGGACUCCGUUCCAAAAUCAGAUCUGAAAAGAGUCAAAAACACGGAAAAAAAGGAACUGGCACUUGGCACUGAAUUAAUAAGUUAGUCCCAAAAAAGAUAUAAAAGGUACAUAAAACAACCAAAGAAGACAAGAUAACAACGUGAAACCAUCAAAAAUUAUAGUACGUUUGAGACGUAUCAGCCCGUGCCCUGAUUCUCCGGCUUCCCGAUCUUUUUCUGUUUCGGAAAAAAUCUUUUUGGCAGUUUCAUUCCAUUUGGACUCCAUUCAAAAUCCUCCUCUGAAAGGGGUCAAAAACAUGGAAAAACAGGAACUGGCACUUUGCACUGAGUUAAUAAGUUAGUCCCAAAAAAUAUAUAAAAGGCAUACAAAACAUCCAAAGUUUGACAAGAUAAUAGCAUGAAACCAUCAAAAAUUAUAGAUACGUUGGAGACGUAUCAGUUGACCACAUGACACUUCAUCAUUAUUUGGGCCUAUGGGAAGGCAUUGGGAAGUAAUAAGUAUAUGAUGGGUUGCUAGAGUGACAGAACCUUAAACCCUAGUUUAUGUGUUGCUUCGUAAGGGGCUGAUUUGGAUCCAUAUGUUUCAUGUUAUGGUUAGAUUUAUCUUGAUUCUUCUUUUGUAGUUGUGGGUGCUUGCGAGAGAAGUUAAUCAUAAGUGGGAUGUUUGUCCAAUUAAGGGCAGCAACCAAGCACCGGUCCACCCACAUAUCAAUUUAUCAAAGUAACGAACGUGAAUCAUAUGAGCAUGAUGAAAACUAGCUUGAAAGAAAUACCCAUGUGUCCUCGGGAACUCUUUGCAUUAUAUAAGAGUUUGUCCAGGCUUGUCCUUUGCUACAAAAAGGAUUGGGCCACCUUGCUGCACCUUUGUUACAUUUCUUACUUGCUACCCAUUACGAAUUACCUUGUCACAGAACUAUCUGUUACCGCUAAUUUCAGUGCUUGUAGAGAAUACCUUACUGAAAACCUAUUGUCAUUUCUUUCUUCUCCUCGUUGGGUUCGACACUCUUACUUAUUGAAAGGGAUAACAUAUAUCCCCUAUAAUUGUGGGUCAUCACUCAUCCCUUCAAUUCUUCAAUUUGUUUGGGCAUAGUUGAAAGGCGCCUCAGCAUGUCAUUGAUAAACUUCACCGGGUCUUUGUCCCCCAUAACAACCUUCAUCAUGAACAAACCUCCAGCAUAUAGUUGUUCAGUUAAAGUAUACAAAGCUUUCAGCUUCAGUACACUGUUGUCUUGAAGGUUCAGAGAUCGAAGGCCUACAAAUAAUUCAAGAAUAUUAGUUGCCCGACGGGUCUUUUUUCUACAAAGGUUUUCUCAUGAAGUGUUGUUGCAAGAUCAUCAAACAAUGCUUACCAAAAACAGCCAUGGUCAUCUUGGAGCUAUGCCGUUUGAAACCACUUAGCUCUUCAGUAACCAGCUUCACCUGAUCUUUGGCAUCUUCAGCAUGUUUAACCAAGGCGGCUCUGUCAGGCUCAUUAUAUGCUGUGAACCCAGCUUUGAUUUUUUCAAUUUCUUCAAAGGAGAUCCGAAGUUUCUCCUCAGCUUGAGCUCGGGCAUCUUGUUGAUGUGCCAAAUUCUUCCUCAUGCCGCCAAAGUCUGAGAAGGCCCCGUUUAAAGCUUCCUACACAACAAAAUGACUAGGUGGAUAUUAGUCAAAAUAUGAGCCGCCAACAUGGUGCAUACAUGAUUUUGUGAGGUUGCAAAGAAGAUCGUUGAUUGCUACGGUAACAAAAGGCCUUCCUUGGCGCUAGGAAUUCUUCUUGCUACUUCUCUGGUUUGCGUCGGUUUUUCCCUUGAAGAGGAAAGGGUGAUGCAGCACAGGAGCAGUAAGUAUUUCCCUCAGUUUGGGAACCAAGGUAUCGAUCGAGAAGGAGGGUCUCGUCAAGUCUAGAGUACCUACGCAAACACAAACAAGCUUGCAUCCAACGCUUCAAAGGGGUUGUCAAUCCCUUCAAGAUUGUUUGCAAAGUGAGAUCUGAAGGCGGAAAGUGCAACGAAGUAAAAAGUGUAAUGCUGAAAAUAUGGUGUGGAGUAGACCCGGGGGCCAUAGUGUUCACUAGAGGCUUCUCCCAAAAUAGCAAAUAUCACGGUGGGUGAACAAAUUACUGUCGAGCAAUUGAUAGAACCCCGCAAAGUCAUGACGAUAUCUAAGGCAAUGAUCAUACAUAUAGACAUCACGUCCGAGACAAGUAGACCGAUACUUUCUGCAUCUACUACUAUUACUCCACACAACGACCGCUAUCCAGCAUGCAUCUAGUGUAUUGAGUUCAUGACAAACAGAUUAACGCCUUAAGCAAGAUGACAUGAUGUAGAGGGAUAAUCUACAACCAAUGAUGAAAACCCCAUCUUUUUACCCUUGAUGGCAACAACAUGAUGCGUGCCUCGCUACCCCUUCUGUCACUUGGUGAGGUCACCGCACGGUAUGAACCCAAAACCAAGCACUUCUCACAUUGCAAGAAUCAUAGAUCUAGUUGGCCAGACAAAACCCACAACUCGAAGAGAAUUACAAGGAUAUGAAAUCAUGCAUAAGAGAGAUCAAAAUAAACUAAAAUAAGAUUCAUAGAUAAUCUGAUCAUAAAUCCACAAUUCAUCGGAUCUCGACAAACACACCGCAAAAGAAGAUCAUGGAGAACUUUGUAUUGAAGAUCUAAGAGAGAGAAGAAGCCAUCUAGCUACCAUCUAUAGACCCGUAGGUCUAUGGUGAACUACUCACGCAUCAUCGGAGAGGUCAUGGUGUUGAUGAAGAAGCCCUCCGUGUCCGAAUCCCCCCUCCGACAGGGCACCAGAAAGAGUCAUGGUGAUCUUCACCAAUUGCUUGUUUUGCGUUUAUCUUUGCUAAUGUCAUAUGCUAGGGAAAGAUCUAUAUUCAUAUGUCAACUUGGAGGUAAGAAUUCAUGAAUUAUUAUUGUUGACAUUACCCUUGAGGUAAGCAGUUGGGAGGCAAAACUAUAAGCCGCUAUCUUUCUCUAUGUCCAGCUGAAACUUUGAUCUCAUGAGUACCACGUGAGUUGUAGCAAUUGUAGAGAAUGAAAAGAUGAUUGAGUAUGUGGAUUUGCUUUACAAGCUCUUAUUUGACUCUUUCUGACGUUGUGAUAAAUUGCAAUUGCUUCAAUGACUAAAGGCUAUCGGUUGCUAAUUCUCGGUAAGGUUCUUGAUCCAUACUUUACUUUGUGAUGGAAUUGUUACUUUAGCAUGAGAAAUUAUAUGUUGGUAUUGCUGCUCUGAUCAUGAUCAUGAUGCAUGCAUGUUCGCAUUUUGUUUUGUCGACACCUCUCUCCCUAAACAUGUGGGCAUAUUUAUUGAGCUCGGCUUUCGCUUGAGGACAAGCGAGGUCUAAGCUUCGGGGUGUUGAUACGUCCAUUUUGCAUCAUGCUUUCAUGUUGAUAUUUAUAGCUUUUUGGGCUGUUAUUUCACUUCACAGUACAAUACUUAUGCCUUUUCUCUCUUAUUUUGCAAGGUUUACUUGAAGAGGGAGAAUGCCGGCAGCUGGAAUUCUGGCCUGAAAAAGGAGCAAAGUUGAGAUACCUAUUCAGCGCAACUCCAAACACCAUAAAAAUCAACGAGGAUUUUUCUCGAGAUUUAUAAAAAAUACUGGGCCAAAGAAGUGCCACAAGGGCGCCAGCAGGUGGCCACAAGCCUGCUAGAUGCGGCCACCCCCGUGGCCGCGCCUAGGGGGCUUGUGGGCGCCCAGCUGGCCCUCUGGCUCCCCCCUUCUGCUAUAUGAAGGGUUUCGUCCGAAAAAAAUCAGGAAGAGGCUUUUUCGAGGAUUCGCUGCCGCCACGAGGCGGAACUUGAGUAGAACCAAUCUAGAGCUCCGGCAGGACGAUCCUGCCGGGGAAACUUCCCUCCCAGAGGGGGAAAUCAUCGCCAUCGUCAUCACCAACACUCCUCUCAUCGGAGGGGACUCAUCACCAUCAACAUAUUCAUCAGCACCAUCUCAUCUCCAAACCCUAGUUCAUCACUUGUAACCAAUCUCUGUCUCGCGACUCUGAUUGGUACUUGUAAGGUUGCUAGUAGCGUUAAUUACUCUUUGUAGUUGAUGCUAGUUGGAUUACUUGGUGGAAGAGUUUAUGUUCAGAUAAUUGAUGCUACUCAUUACCUCUCUGGUCAUGAAUAUGAUUAUGCUUUGUGAGUAGUUACUUUUGUUCCUGAGGACAUGGGAUAAGUCAUGCUAAUAGUAGUCAUGUGAAUUUGGUAUUCGUUCAAUAUUUUGAUGUGUUGUACGUUGUUUUUCCUCUAGUGGUGUUAUGUGAACGUCGACUACAUAACACUUCACCAUUAUUUGGGCCUAGAGGAAGGCAUUGGGUGUUGGAAAUAUGCCCUAGAGGCAAUAAUAAAAUGGUUAUUAUCAUAUUUCCUUGUUCAUGAUAAUCUUCUAUUGUUCAUGCUAUAAUUGUAUUAACAGGAAACAGUAAUACAUGUGUGAAUAAAUAGAUCACAAAGUGUCCCUAGCAAGCCUCUAGUUGGCUAGCUCGUUAGUCAAUAGAUGAUCAUGGUUUCCUGAUCAUGGGCAUUAGAUGUCAUUGAUAACGGGAUCACAUCAUUGGGAGAAUGAUGUGAUGGACGAGACCCAAUCCUAAGCAUAGCACUAGAUCGUAUUGUUCGUAUGCUAAAGCUUUUCUAAUGUAAAGUAUCUUUUCCUUCGACCAUGAGAUUGUGCAACUCCCGGAUACCGUAGGAGUGCUUUGGGUGUAUCAAACGUCACAACGUAACUGGGUGACUAUAAAGGUGCACUACGGGUACCUCCGAAAGUGUCUAUUGGGUUGGUACGAAUCGAGAUCGGGAUUUGUCACUCCGUGUGACGGAGAGGUAUCUCCGGGCCCACUCGGUAGAACAUCAUCAUGAUCUCAAUGUGACUAAGGAGUUAGUCACACGAUGACGUGCUACGGAACGAGUAAAGAGACUUACCGGUAAUGAGAUUGAACAAGGUAUUGGUAUACCGACGAUCGAAUCUCGGGCAAGUUCUAUACCAACAGACAAAGGGAAUUGUAUACGGGAUUGAUUGAAUCCUUGACAUCGUGGUUCAUCCGAUGAGAUCAUCGUGGAGCAGGUGAGAGGCACCAUGGGUAUCCAGACCCCGCUGAUGGUUAUUGGCCAGAGAGGUGUCUCGGUCAUGUCUGCCUGUCUCCCGAACCCGUAGGGUCUACACACUUAAGGUUCGGUGACGCUAGGGUUAUAGGGAAUUGUUAUACGAGGUUACCUAAAGUUGUUCGGAGUCCCGGAUGAGAUCUCGGACGUCACGAGGAGCUCUGAAAUGGUCUGGAGGUAAAGAUUGAUAUAUAGGACGGAUGGUUUCGGACACCGGAAGUGUUUCGGGCAUCACCGGAAAACGUACCGGGACCACCGGAGGUGGCUCCGGGGGUCCACCGAAGGGGGGCAACGACCCCGGGAGGUAAGAUGGGCCAAGUAGGGGAGGGAACCAGCCCCUAGGUGGGCUGGUGCGCCUCCCCACUCAGCCCAAUGCGCAGGGGAGAGAAAAGGGGGGGGGCAAACCCUAAGCCAGGUGGGCCUAAGGCCCACCAGGGGUGCGCCACACCCCUCCUCCCCCCUUGGCCGCCGCACUAGCCCCCAUCUAGGGCUGCCGCCCCCCCAGGAGGGGGAAACCCUCAAGGGGUCGCAUCCCCUCCCUUCCCCUAUAUAUAGCGGGCACUUUUGGCCAUUGGGCGACAGACUUCUCCCUCUCCCUCGGCGCAGCCCUGCCCUUCUUCCUCCUCCUCUCUGCCAGUGCUUGGAGAAGCCCUGCCGGGAGACCUCGUCUCUCCAUCGACACCACGCCGUCGUGCUGCUGGAGUUAUUCCCCAACCUCUCCCUCCUCCUUGCUGGAUCAAGGUGCGGGAUACGUCACGGCUGCACGUGUGUUGAACGCGGAGGUGCCGUAGUUCGACACUAGAUCGGAAUCGCUGCGAGUACGACUCCAUCAACCGCGUUCUAGCAAGGCUUCCGCUUAGCGAUCUUCAAAGGUAUGAAGAUGAUCUUACCCCUCUCUCGUUGCUGGUCUCUCCAUAGGAAGAUCUGAAUAUGCGUAGGAAAAUUUUGAAUUUAUGCUACGUUACCCAACAGUGGCAUCCGAGCCAGGUUUUCUAUGCAUAGAUUCUAUGCACGAGUAGAACACAAAAGUUGUGUGCGAUGAUUUGUCAAUUUGCUUGCCGCUACUAGUCUUAUUCUUUUCCGGCGGUAUUGUGGGAUGAAGCGGCCCGGUCCGACUUUACACGUACGCUUACGUGAGACUGGUUCCACCGACAGACAUGCACACCAUGCAUAAAGGUGGCUAGCGGGUGUCUGUCUCUCCUACUCUAGUCGGAUUGGAUUUGAUGAAAAGGGUCCUUAUGAAGGGUAAAUAGCUUUGGCAUAUCAUCGUUGUGGCUGUCACGUAGGUAAGAAGGCGUUCUUGCUAGAAACCCAAAUCAGCCACGUAAAACUUGCAACAACAAUUAGAGGACGUCUAACUUGUUUUUGCAGGGUUUGACAUGUGAUGUGAUAUGGCCAAAGUUGUGAUGUUGCAUGUAUGAUGUAUGAGAUGAUCAUGUUAUUGUAUUAGGUUUCACGACUCGCAUGUCGAUGAGUAUGACAACCGGCAGGAGCCAUAGGAGUUGUCUUAAUUUAUUGUAUGAGAUGCAACGCCAUGUGCUACAAAGGCUUUGUGCUUAACUACAACAUGCAAGGGNNNNNNNNNNNNNNGAAAAGGGUCCUUAUGAAUGGUAAAUAGCUUUGGCAUAUCAUCGUUGUGGCUGUCACAUAGGUAAGAAAGUGUUCUUGCUAGAAACCCAAAUCAGCCACGUAAAACUUGCAACAACAAUUAGAGGACGUCUAACUUGUUUUUGCAGGGUUUGACAUGUGAUGUGAUAUGGCCAAAGUUGUGAUGUUGCAUGUAUGAUAUAUGAGAUGAUCAUGUUAUUGUAAUAGGUUUCACGAUUUGCAUGUCGAUGAGUAUGACAACCGGGAGGAGCCAUAGGAGUUGUCUUAAUUUAUUGUAUGAGAUGCAACGCCAUGUGCCUACUACUUUUACUUCAUUGCUAACGGUUAGCUAUAGUAGUAGUGAUAGUAGUAGUUGGCGUGACGACUUCACGGAGACACGAUGAUGGAGAUAAUGAUGAUGGAUAUCAUGGUGUCACGCCGGUGACAAUGAUGAUCAUGCGAUGCCUGAAGAUGGAGAUCGAAAGAGCAAAGAUGAUAAUGGCCAUAUCAUGUCACUAUAUGAUUGCAUUGUGAUGUUUAUCAUGUUUUUCAUCUUAUUGCUUAGAACGAUGGUAGCAUAAUAAGAUGACCCCUCUUAAAAUUUUGAGAACGUAUUACCCUAAGUGUGCACCGUUGCGAAGGAUCGUUGUCUCGAAGCACCACGUGAUGAUCGGGUGUGAUAGAUUCUAACGUUCGCAUACAACGGAUGUAAGCCAGAUUUACACACGCGAAACACCUAGGUUGACUCGACGAGCUUAGCAUGUACAGACAUGACCUCGAAUACAAGAGACCGAAAGGUCUAACAUGAGUCGUAUGGUUGAAUACGAUCAACAUGAAGUUGCUCACCAUGGUGACUAGUCCAUCUCACGUGAUGGUCGCGCGGGUUAGUCAACAUGGAUCAUGUAUCACUUAGAUGACUAGAGGGAUGUCGAUUUAAGUGGGAGUUCAUACUUAAUUUGAUUAAAUGAACUUAAUUGUCAUGAACUUAGUCUAAAAGUUGUCUUUAUAAAUAUUGUAGAUGGCCAACGUCAACCUCAAUUUCAACGCAUUCCUAGAGAAAAACAAGCUGAAAGAUGAUGGUAGCAACUAUGCGGACUGGGUUCGCAACUUGAAGCUCAUCCUUGAAGCAGCUAAAAAGGCUUAUGCCCUUGAUGCGCCGCUAGGUGACCCUCCCGCUCCCACAGCAGCCCAGGACAUUCUGAACGUCUGGCAAACGCGGAGUGAUGACUACUCUCUCGUUAGGUGUGGCAUGUUAUACAGUUUAGAAACGGGGCUCCAAAGGCGUUUUGAGCAACACGGUGCAUAUGAGAUGUUCCAAGAGCUGAAGCUAGUUUUUCAAGCUCAUCCCGUGUCAGAGAUAUGAAGUCUCCGACAAGUUCUUUAGCUGCAAGAUGGAGGAGAAUAGUUCUGUCAUUGAGCACAUACUCAAAAUGUCCGGGUUACCCGGUCGUCUGACUUCACUUGGAGUCGAACUUCCGGAUGAUGUUAUAAUUGACAGAAUCCUCCAAUCUCUCCCACCAAGCUACAAAGGUUUUGUGCUGAACUACAACAUGCAAGGGNNNNNNNNNNNNNNNNNNNNNNNNNNNNNNNNNNNNNNNNNNNNNNNNNNNNNNNNNNNNNNNNNNNNNNNNNNNNNNNNNNNNNNNNNNNNNNNNNNNNNNNNNNNNNNNNNNNNNNNNNNNNNNNNNNNNNNNNNNNNNNNNNNNNNNNNNNNNNNNNNNNNNNNNNNNNNNNNNNNNNNNNNNNNNNNNNNNNNNNNNNNNNNNNNNNNNNNNNNNNNNNNNNNNNNNNNNNNNNNNNNNNNNNNNNNNNNNNNNNNNNNNNNNNNNNNNNNNNNNNNNNCAACAUGCAAGGGAUGGAGAAGACCAUUCCUGUGACAGCCCGGGACCGACGUUCCAGAAGAUUCCCCUUUAUUUCCAUUUCCGUCGUGUGCUUUUUUUUCAUUUGUUGCAUCAUCAUGUAGUUGCAUCAUCGCAUCAUGCAUGGCAUCUUGCAUCUUCUCUCGCGUGUGGUGUUUUGAGUAUUGUGCUUCGAGUGAUUACCGAGUCGUAGUGCGAUAGAAACUCCCCUCCUCUCCUCUUUUAUCUGUUUUGGCGGUUUGCUAAAGUUUCCCGUUUUAAACCCCUAUUUAAAAAGGGUUCGUCUUCUUCUUUUCAGUAAAAGGUCCUUUUAUUAAAUGUGGGGGCAACCCUUGGGUUUUUAUUUUAUUUUUUUCCAUUUGUUUUAUUUGAAAACCAUCUCAUUUUCUUGUCUCUUUUAAAAGGCUUUUAUUUUAUUCUUCAGAAGGGUUUUAGUUUUAAUUCUUCAAAGGUUUUAUCUUAUUCCUUUUAAAAAUGCCCAACUAUUUUUUAUAGUUGGGGAUAUUUUUUCAAAAGAGUCAAAAGCCUUUAUUUUUUUUUUUUUUUUNNNNNNNNNNNNNNNNNNNNNNNNNNNNNNNNNNNNNNNNNNNNNNNNNNNNNNNNNNNNNNNNNNNNNNNNNNNNNNNNNNNNNNNNNNNNNNNNNNNNNNNNNNNNNNNNNNNNNNNNNNNNNNNNNNNNNNNNNNNNNNNNNNNNNNNNNNNNNNNNNNNNNNNNNNNNNNNNNNNNNNNNNNNNNNNNNNNNNNNNNNNNNNNNNNNNNNNNNNNNNNNNNNNNNNNNNNNNNNNNNNNNNNNNNNNNNNNNNNNNNNNNNNNNNNNNNNNNNNNNNNNNNNNNNNNNNNNNNNNNNNNNNNNNNNNGAUUUUUUUUUUUUUUUUGUUAAAAGCUUUCUUCGUUUUAAAUUGUCUGAUUUAAAAAAAUGGUUUAAAAAAACAAUGGGGGGGAGAGCCAGCCUCUCGAGACGGUCGAGGCCCAGCCGACUCCCUCCCCUGCCCUACGCGACAGCCCCCGAUCCCCUCCUGGCGCGUCGUCCUCCCCAGCCGCGCAAGUCCCGAUUCCCUCCUCCUCGAUCCACCCCGACCAUGGCCUCGCCGCCUCUCGCUCGCCAUGGCUGCCACGCGCCGCCGCCCCUCGGCCUCGCCCCCCGGUAGCCGCCAAGCCCCCGUCGCCGCCUCACUCUCACGCGGCCUCCUCCUCCCGCGCCAUGGCCGACCUCCACCAGGGAGGUUCCCCUCGCCCGUGCCCCGCCGUGGCCUCCCUCUCCCCGCCGGUGGCCGUCUCCAGCGCCGAUGCCCGCUGCCGUGCUGCCCCGCCGUCCCCCGCACUGCCAGUCCCGCCGCCGUGCUGCCCUGCCAUGGCCUCGAGAUGGCUUGUUGCCUUCGAGUUUGCUGAUGUUCGAUGUGCCCCCGUGCUGGCCCGUCCCCGCGUGGUCGCCGCGCCGCCCAUCCAGGUCGCCUCGCCCCUCGCCCUCGCCUCUUCUCGCGCCGGCCGACGUGCUCGCCGUGCUCGCCCGUCGCCUGCGCCCUGCUGCUGUUGCGUUUUGCCUGCCUGCUGCUGCUGUGUCUCGUUGCUGUUGCCUGUUGCUACGGCUCCUGCUGUUGUUCUGCUUGCUUGCCUGCCGCUUGCCUGUGCUGCUGCACCAUGUUGUGUUGCUCCUGCCGCCGUAUUGCUUCCUGCUGCGAGCAAUGGCAGUUGUUGUGCUUGCCGUUUUGCAUCCUGUAGGUGCUAGGCUGCAUGCCGAGUUAGGUGUUGCCGCUGUUGCUUGCUUUUUGCUGUUGCGUUGCUGCCUGUUAUGCUGCCGAAGGUGCUGCUUGCUUGCGCUUGCUGUCGCCGCUGCUCUGUUGCUAUGUUGCCCUGUUGCCGAGACUGUUAUUUGCCUCCUCCUGCAGAUGCUAGCUUGCGGCUUGGAGAUGCUCUUGCAGGGUGCUAGCAGUGGCUGUGCUUGUCUGUUGCCGAUUUGCUGUUGCUUUGCUAGCUGCUGCUAGUAGAUGCUCUGCUGCCUAGUGCUUGCUGCUGCUAGAUGGUGUUGCUUGCUUGCUUGCCUUGCUAGUGCUGUUACGUAGUAGAUGUUGCUGCUCUUGCUUUUGCCUGCUUUGCUGCUAGUGCUAGAUACUAGUUGAUGUAGGUUGCUAGCUGCAUUGCUAGUUGGCGUAGCAUGCUGCUGUUGCUAUUCCGCGUUGUUGCUAGCUGAUGUUGUUGUGUCGCCUGCCAUCCCCGCCUGCCGUAGAUCCGACAAGAACGGCGAGUACCACGACAUCCUCGACAACCCCGACCAUCUUCGGAAACAUGAACAACUACCGAUGUGAAGACCGUGUACCACGAUGCCGAGCGAACGACUACCGUCGACGAGACUCAAGUACCUCGACGACCACGACUUCCACGACGUCCGCUACGAACCGAACCGCUCCGAUGUGCACGCUCCGAAGGUAUACCGAUGAGACGUGUCGUGUACCGAACACAUAUGAUGUAUGAGUUGAAUAUAUGUAUGCACCGAAUGUUGCCCGUUGCCCGUUGUCUUCUUUCGUCGUGCCUCGACACAUGGGAACCCGAGAUACGGGAUCACCCCAUCUUUAUUUACCGUUCCCGCACGCGUUCCCAGUACGUUGGCACGAUAUCUCGACGAGUUAUCGGGAUAGGAACGUUGCCGUGGCAUCGUUUCCGUCUUGCCGCCUUGGUUCCCUCUCGCUCGCCGUGGCGACACCUGUUUCUUCUCCUUCUUGCCCGUGUUUGAACUCGCAUGCAUGACGCAUUCAUGGCAUAUGAUCUUGUGUUGCAUGUCGCUCGUGCCGUAGCUCCGUUCUAUGUCUCGCGUGUUACCCGACUAGGAUGCCACGUAGAACCGUCGCUUCACCACUUGCCAUGUUAACAACAUUUAAUAUUGCGUGUUAAAUAAUCGGAGUGAAUUAAAUAAUUAAACGUGGGGUUUCAUCGAUAUGCAACCCGUUGCAUAUUGAGCUUCAUUUAAUGUGUAGUGUUUGCGUGAGGUGAUUUGCCAUGCCAUCCCUUGCAUAUUGAACUGAUCAUGCAUCAUAUUAGGGUACGCAUCAUGUCUUGCUUUUGUUGUGGUGAAUAUCUGUGUUGAUGUUUGUUUCCGGUUUGCUCCAUCUCGAUAGAGUUCUGCAAGCGUGUCGGAAUGUGAGGACCCGUUCGACUACGUUGGUUCGCCGACUUCUCGGAGUUGUUCUUGUUCCAAGCGGGAUCUCAGGCAAGAUGACCAUUUCCCCAGAUACCAUUACUAUCAUUGCCAUGCUAGUUAUUUCGAUGCUUUCGAUUAUGUCUCGUUGCCUACCACGUGUUAAAUAUCACCCUCUCAACAAUGCCGUGAUUACCUUCAACCUGUUCGACCUAGCAAACCACUGAUUGGCUAUGUUACCGCUUGCUUAACCAUGUUGUUAGCGUUGCUAGUUGUAGGUGAAGUUGCUUCCAUGUGUUAACAUGGGUUCCUUGUCAUAUCACCGUAUUAAAUGCUAUUUAAUAUAAUGCACCUAUAUACUUGGUAAAAGGUGGAAGGCUCGGCCUUUCUAGCCUGGUGUUUUGUUCCACCUUUGCCCCCUUAGUUUCGGCUACCGGUGUUAUGUUCCAUAAAUGAGCACUCCUAACACGAUCGGGGUUGUUAUGGGGACCCCCUUGAUAAUUCGUUUUAGAUUAAAGCUGGUCCAGCAAGGCCCAACAUUGGUACUACAUUUUCCCAACAUAAUAACUUGUUAAUACUGAAAGCAUAGGGCGUCAUGAACCCGAGGAGUAAUUUUACAUAAUACAGGGGGGCCAGUGCUGUUGAUGCUGGUCCAAAACUAGAGCCGUUUGCGGGGCCAACCCGGGGCAACUCGGGAGAUUUCUAUCAGGCCACCGUACGCUGUGCUUAUCCGUCAUGUCCUGAGAACGAGAUACACGGCUCCUAUCGGGAUCGUCGACACGCCGGGCGGCCUUGCUGGAUUAGUUUUACCUUUAACGAGAUAUCUUGUGCAUCGGGAUUCCGGUGAUGCUUUGGGUAAUCUCAGAGUUGAGGUUUUCCACUAGGGAAUCCGACGAGAUCGCGAGCUUCGUGAGUGAGGAUUUCUAUGCGGCUUGUGGUAAUUUGUGAUGGACUAGUUGGAGCACCCCUGCAGGGUUAAAUCUUUUCGGAAAGCCGUGCCCGCGGUUAGGUGGCAACGUGGAAACUUUGUUUAAUACUGGUUCUAGAUAACUUGAAGUUAACUUAAUUAAAACUUGCCAACUGUGUGCGUAACCGUGACUGUCUCUUUCGUGAGUUCUUUCUCCGAUCGAGGACACGGUGGGGUUAUGUCUAACGCAGGUAGGUGUUCAGGGUCAUUCAUGUGAUCAUCGGUAGUUCACGUCCGUUAUGCGUAGAUCUUCCCCCUCUCAUUUCUUGUACUCGUAAGUUUAGCCACCAAAUAUAUGCUUAGCUGCUGCUGCAACCUCACCACUUAACCAUGCCUCACCCAUUAAGCUUUCCUAGUCUUGAUACCUUUGAAAAUGAGAUUGCUGAGUCCCCUGUGGCUCACAGAUUACUACAACACCAGUUGCAGGUACAGGUAAAGGUUACUCGACGCGAGCGCGUUGAUUGUUCAUUUGGAGUUGCUUCUUCUUCUUCUUCUUCAUUGAUCUAGGAUGGGUUCCAGGCCAGCAGCCUGGGAUAGCAAGGAUGGACGUCGUUCUUAUUUUUCUUGUUUGUUUUCGUCCGUAGUCGGACCCUGCUCUUACUCUUGAUGAUUAUGUAAUGUACUGAUGUGACUCUGAUAUAGCUUGUGGCGAGUGUAAGCCAACUCUAUAUAUAUCUCUUCUUUUCAAUACAUGUACUUGUAACGAUAUCCAUUCCUGCGACACGACGAGAUGCGCUUCUAUCCCUGACGAGGCCUUCGUGCCAAAUUGAGGAUAGGGUCGCAUCUUGGGCGUGACAAUUCCAGAGUUGUACUCGAUGCUCAAGUCUGCAGAAGUAGAAAUCAAGAAAGAGCAUCAAGUGUUGAUGGUCAACAAGACCACUAGUUUCAAGAAGGGCAAGGGUAAGAAAAACUUCAAGAAAGACGGCAAAGCCGUUGCUACGCCCGGUAAGCCAGAUGCCGGAAAGAAGAAAAAGAAUGGACCCAAGCAUGAAACUGAGUGCUUCUAUUGCAAGGGAAAUGGUCACUUGAAACGGAACUGCCCCAAAUACUUAGCGGACAAGAAGGCCGGCAACGUUAAAGGUAUAUGUGAUAUACAUGUUAUUGAUGUGUACCUUACCAGCGCUCGUAGUAGCUCCUGGGUAUUUCAUACCGGCGUUGUUGCUCACAUUUGCAACUCAAAGCAGGAACUACGGAAUAAGCGGAGAGUGGCAAAGGACAAGGUGACGAUGCGCGUCGGGAAUGGCUCCAAGGUCGAUGCGAUCGCCGUCGGCACGCUACCUCUACAUCUACCGCCGGGAUUAGUUUUAAACCUUAAUAAUUGUUAUUUAGUACCAGCUUUAAGCAUGAACAUUGUAUCAGGGUCUUGCUUAAUGCGAGACGGCUACUCAUUUAAGUCAAAGAAUAAUGGUUGUUCUAUUUAUAUGAGUGAUAUGUUUUAUGGUCAUGCUCCGUUGGUGAAUGGUUUAUUCUUGAUGAAUCUCGAUCGUGAUGUUACACAUAUUCAUAGUGUGAGUACCAAAAGAUGUAAAGUUGACAAUGAUAGUCCCACAUACUUGUGGCACUGCCGCCUUGGUCAUAUCGGCGUUAAGCGCAUGAAGAAGCUCCAUACUGAUGGACUAUUAGAGUCUCUUGAUUUUGAAUCAUUUGACACAUGCGAACCGUGCCUCAUGGGCAAGAUGAGUAAGACUCCAUUCUCAGGAAUAAUGGAGAGAGCAACCAACUUAUUGGAAAUAAUACAUACUGAUGUGUGUGGUCCAAUGAACGUUGAAGCUCGCGGUGGCUAUCGUUAUGUUCUCACUCUCACCAAUGAUUUGAGUAGGUAUGGGUAUAUCUACUUGAUGAAGCACAAAUCUGACAUUUGAAAAGUUUAAGGAAUUUCAGAGUGAGGUCGAGAAUCAACGUGACAGAAAAAUUAAGUGUCUAUGAUCUGAUCGUGGAGGAGAAUAUUUGAGUCACGAGUUUGGCACACACCUAAGGAAGUGUGGAAUCGUUUCACAACUGACGCCGCCUCGCACACCGCAACGCAAUGGAGUGUCUGAACGUUGUAAUCGCACUUUAUUAGAUAUGGUACGAUCUAUGAUGUCUCUUACCGACUUACCGCUAUCAUUUUGGGGAUACGCAUUAGAAACUACAACAUUCACUUUAAAUAGGGCAGCGUCGAAAUCCGUUGAGACAACACCGUAUGAACUAUGGUUUGGCAAGAAACCUAAGUUGUCGUUUCUUAAAGUUUGGGGCUGCAAUGCUUAUGUGAAUAAACUUCAACCAGAAAAGCUCGAACCCAAAGCGGAGAAAUGCGUAUUCAUAGGAUACCCUAAGGAAACUAUUGGGUAUACCUUCUAUCUUAGAUCCGAAGGUAAAACCUUUGUUGCCAAGAACGGAUUCUUUCUAGAGAAAGAGUUCCUCUCGAAAUAAGUAAGUGGGCGGAAGGUAGAACUUGAUGAGGUAAUUACACCCCCUCUCGAACAGGAUAGUAGCGCAACGCGGGAAGUUGUUCCUGUGGCGCCUAUACCAACUGAAGAGGAAGUUAAUGAUAAUGAUCAUGAAGCUUCGGAUCAAGUUACUACUGAACCGCAAAGGUCCACGAGGGCACGCUCCGCACCAGAGUGGUACGACAACCCUGUGAUGGAAAUCAUGUUGUUAGACAACGGUGAACCUUCAAACUAUGAAGAAGCGAUGGCGGGCCCGGAUUCCAGCAAAUGGCUUGAAGCGAUGAAAUCCAAGAUAGGAUCCAUGUAUGAGAACAAAGUAUGGACUUUGGUGGACUUGCCCGAUGAUCGGCGAGCCAUAGAAAAUAAAUGGAUCUUCAAGAAAAAGACUGAUGCAAACGGUAAUGUAACCGUUCAUAAAGCUCGACUUGUCGCAAAGGGUUUUUGACAAAUUCAAGGAGUUGACUACGAAGAGACUUUCUCUCCCGUAGCGAAGCUGAAAUCAGUCCAAAUCAUGUUAGCAAUUGCCUCCUUUUAUGAUUAUGAAAUUUGACAAAUGGACGUCAAAACAGCGUUCCUUAACGGGAACCUUAAGGAAGAGUUGUAUAUGAUGCAACCAGAAGGUUUUGUCAACCCUAAGGGUGCUAACAAAGUGUGCAAGCUCCAGCGCUCCAUCUAUGGGAUGGUGCAAGCAUCUCGGAGUUGGAACAUUCGCUUUAAUAAGGUGAUUAAAGCGUUUGGGUUCAUACAGGUUUACGGAGAAGCCUGUGUGUACAAGAAAGUGAGUGGAAGCUCUGUAGCUUUCCUCAUACUGUAUGUGGAUGACAUAUUAUUGAUGGGGAACAAUAUAGAGAUGUUGGAAAGCAUAAAGGCCUAUUUGAACAAGAGUUUUUCAAUGAAGGACCUUGGAGAAGCUGCAUACAUAUUAGGCAUCAAGAUAUAUAGAGAUAGAUCGAGACGCCUCAUAGGUCUUNNNNNNNNNNNNNNNNNNNNNNNNNNNNNNNNNNNNNNNNNNNNNNNNNNNNNNNNNNNNNNNNNNNNNNNNNNNNNNNNNNNNNNNNNNNNNNNNNNNNNNNNNNNNNNNNNNNNNNNNNNNNNNNNNNNNNNNNNNNNNNNNNNNNNNNNNNNNNNNNNNNNNNNNNNNNNNNNNNNNNNNNNNNNNNNNNNNNNNNNNNNNNNNNNNNNNNNNNNNNNNNNNNNNNNNNNNNNNNNNNNNNNNNNNNNNNNNNNNNNNNNNNNNNNNNNNNNNNNNNNNNNNNNNNNNNNNNNNNNNNNNNNNNNNNNNNNNNNGUUCUUGCCAGUUUUGCAUGGUAUGAGAUUGAGUAAGACUCAGUCGCCGACCACGACAGCAGAUAGAGAGAAGAUGAGUUAUGUCCCCUACGCUUCAGUCGUAGGCUCUCUUAUGUAUGCCAUGUUGUGUACCAGACCUGAUAUAAACCUUGCCAUAAGUUUUGUAGGGAGGUACCAAAGUGAUCCCGGUAUGGAACACUGGACAGUGGUCAAGAAUAUCCUUAAGUACAUGAAAAGGACUAAGGAAAUGUUUCUCGUUUAUGAAGGUGAUGAAGAGCUAUUCGUAAAGGGUUACGUCAACGCUAGCUUCCACACAAAUCCGGAUGACUCUAAGUCACUGACCGGAUACAUAUAUGUUUUGAAUGGUGGGGCAGUGAGCUGGUGCAGCAGCAAGCAAGAAGUCGCGACAACAUCUACAUGUGAAGCGGAGUACAUAGCUGCUUCAGAAGCGUCUCAUGAAGGGAUUUGGAUGAAGGAGCUCAUCACCGACCUUGGAGUGGUUCCAAGCACGUCGGGUCCAAUGACACUCUUCUGUGAUAAUACUGGGGCCAUUGUCAUAGCCAAGAAGCCCAGGUUUCACCGGAAGACGAAGCACAUCAAACGCCACUACAACUCCAUCUAGGACCAUGUCUAGAGUGGAGUAAUAGAUAUUUGUAAAGUACACACGGAUCUGAAUAUUGCAGACCCGUUGACUAAACCUCUUCCACGAGCAAAACAUGAUCAACACCAUAAUGCUAUGGGUGUUCGAUACAUCACAAUGUAACUAGAUUAUUGACUCUAGUGCAAGUGGGAGACUGUUGGAUGCCCUAGAGGCAAUAAUAAAAUGGUUAUUAUCAUAUUUCCUUGUACAUGAUAAUCGUCUAUUGUUCAUGCUAUAAUUGUAUUAACAGGAAACAGUAAUACAUGUGUGAAUAAAUAGAUCACAAUGUGUCCCUAGCAAGCCUCUAGUUGGCAAGCUCGUCAGUCAAUAGAUGAUCAUGGUUUCCUGAUCAUGGGCAUUAGAUGCCAUUGAUAACGGGAUCACAUCAUUGGGAGAAUGAUGUGAUGGACAAGACCCAAUCCUAAGCAUAGCACUAGAUCGUAUUGUUCGUAUGCUAAAGCUUUUCUAAUUUCAAGUGUCUUUUCCUUCGACCGUGAGAUUGUGCAACUCCCGGAUACCGUAGGAGUGCUUUGGGUGUAUCAAACGUCACAACGUAACAGGGUGACUAUAAAUGUGCACUACGGGUAUCUCCGAAAGUGUUUGUUGGGUUGGUACGAAUCGAGAUCGGGAUUUGUCACUCCGUGUGACGGAGAGGUAUCUCUGGGCCCACUCGGUAGAACAUCAUCAUGAGCUCAAUGUGACUAAGGAGUUAGUCACACGAUGACGUGCUACAGAACGAGUUAAGAGACUUACCGGUAACGAGAUUGAACAAGGUAUAGGUAUACCGACGAUCGAAUCUCGGGCAAGUUCUAUACCUACAGACAAAGGGAAUUAUAUACGGGAUUGAUUGAAUCCUUGACAUCGUGGUUCAUCCGAUGAGAUCAUCGUGGAGCAAGUGGGAGCCACCAUGGGUAUCCAGACCCCGCUGAUGGUCAUUGGCCAAAGAGGUGUCUCGGUCAUGUCUACCUGUCUCCCGAACCCGUAGGGUCUACACACUUAAGGUUCGAUGACGCUAGGGUUAUAGGAAAUUGUUAUACGAGGUUAUCGAAAGUUGUUCGGAGUGCCGGAUGAGAUCCCGGACAUCACGAGGAGCUCCGAAAUGGUCCGAAGGUAAAGAUUGAUAUAUAGGACGGAUGGUUUCGGACACCGGAAGUGUUUCGGGCGUCAUCAGUAACGUACCGGGACCACCGGGACCACCAGAGGUGGCCCGGGGGUCCACCAAAAGAGGACAACGACCCCGGGAGGAUAGAUGGGCCAAGUGGGGAAGGGAACUAGCCCCUAGGUGGGCUGGUGCGCCCCCACUCAGCCCAUGGCGCAGGAAGAGGGGAGAGGGGGGGAACCCUAGCGCAGGUGGGCCUAAGGCCCACCAGAGGGGUGCGCCACCCCUCCUCCCUGCCCUGGCCGCCGCACCUCCCAUCUGGGGGGCUGCUGCACCACCUAGGGUGGGAACCCUAGGGGUGGCACCCCCCUCCCCUCCUCCUAUAUAUAGUGGGCACUUUUGGGCUUUUGAAGAUAGACUUUUCCCUCUCCCUCGGCGCAGCCCUGCCCUUCUUUCUCCUCCUCUCUGCCGGUGCUUGGUGAAGCCCUGCCGGAAGACACCGUCUCUCCAUCGACACCACGCCGUCGUGCUGCUGGAGUUCUUCCCCAACCUCUCCCUCCUCCUUGCUGGAUCAAGGUGCGGAAGACGUCACCGGGCUGCACGUGUGUUGAACACGGAGGUGCCGUAGUUCGGCACUAGAUCGAAAUCACACCGCGAUUCGAAUCGUCGCGAGUACGACUCCAUCAACCGCGUUCUAGUAACAUUUCUGCUUAGCGAUCUUCAAAGAUAUGAAGAUGCACUCACCCCUCUCUCGUUGCUGGUCUCUCCAUAGGAAGAUCUGAAUAUGCGUAGGAAUUUUUUUGAAUUUAUGCUACGUUACCCAACAGGUAUCCUCUUCCUAUUUGGGUUCCGCAUGAAAACCUCUUGUCCAUUUUGGGCUCGGCAGCGGUGACACUUUAUGCCGUCUUCGCUUCCGAGGUCAUUUUCAUGGAGUUUAGGUGUAACUAAAUUAGUAUCAUUAGACCUAUCAUGGACUGUAGUUCCCUAUUUUUAUUUUUUUACAAACUUGAUCAAACAUAGAAGUAGAAGUGCUUGACUUUAAAAAUAAUAACCCACCUUAAAGUAUUUAAAAACGAAGAGUUACUAUAACUGAACAGUCAAGCUUAUAACAAUGGUGACCUGGUCGGAUUGGACCAGAAAGUCUCUUCCAUCAGGGUUUACUAUAUGAAAUAAGUGGAGUUUGGAAAAUAAACGCAGAUCAACGUGUCGGAGUUCACCGACAUGGCGUCAUGGGAGCGUGCUCAGCAAGAUCCCGAUAGUCACGAGGUUAUGCGUUCUCCGAUCCAUCAGGACUGACUAAAGGCGCAGGCGUGGACGCCUCCUACUGCGGAGGCGUCGACCCAAACUUUGUGGUUGAUGUCGAGCUAGGAGUGAAAGGAGAUGCCUUUUACCCCUCCUACCGUGACGGGGCACCGUGAUGUAGACGGUUAGGGGUGCCUCUCGGACAUGGAUGUCGGGGCAGUGGUCCCGUGUGGCGGUCCGCUUGGUGGGCUCUCCAGCGGGUACCAUGGCGGCAUGGAUGGCUUUCCCUCUUGGUCAUGUAAGCGGGGAAAGGUAGAGCGGUGGGUGGCUUGGGCAUGCUCUUUGAUUUAGACAGUGAUGACACCCCUAUCCGGCUGUGGAGAUAUGUUCUCGUCGCACUUGUCCUGGAGACCUCGAGGUGGCUCGGUGAAGCGGCCGAGCGAAAGCUCUGCACUUUUUCGUUGCGGGCGCUCCUUUCUUCUUGAAAACGUCGUCCUGGUGCUGCUCUCAAUGUCUAGCUUCCGGGUAAAAACCUUUGUCCAUUUUGGACUCGGCAGCGGUGACGCUUUAUGCCGUUUUUCCUCUUAAGAGCAUUGUCAUGUUUUUCCUCUUAAGAGCAUUGUCAUGGAGCUUAGAUGUACUAGGGCAUUGCGUGACGUUAUACUCGAUCACACUAUGUUAUCUUUCUGUUGUGUAGUCGCUUGAGGAUUCCAUCGUGUACUCUGUUUGCUUGUUGCCUUACAUAUAAAGCGUUACGAAAGGUUUUUUUUAAGAAAAAAAGAAAAAGAAACACAAUAAUAUGGCAUGGGUCUCAUAUAUAUAGACACACAGAUAAACAGUUGCCCCUUUUCCUGAACAAUUCCUGAAGGCUAGUUCUACUACUCCUCUCUCUAUCCCAAAAUAAAUACCGUUGACUUAGCACGUACUCCCUCCGUCCCAAAAUAAGUGUCUCAACUUUAUACUAGCUCUAGUACAAAUUUGUAUUAAGCUUGAGACAGUUAUUUUGGGACGGAGGGAGUACAACUUUACACUAAAGCUAUAGUAACUCAGUAACUAAUUUUUGGACGGGGGAGUAGUAUCUAGCUAGGCCUGGCAAAUUGAUAAGUGAACAUAGGCCGGGAAACGCUAUGACGAUCGAGUAUAUCAGAAAAUAUAGGUAUGAAUCUCUUCCUAAUUCCUAAUAAUAAAGCGAAUAUUGUUUCUGGUCGUCCGUCCUUUCAACUGAUUCAUAUCAAUUUAUAUACAUUUAAAGAUUAUUUGUAAUAUCAAUCAGCCUUCUCAAAAAAAUAAAAAAUAAAUAAGAGCAACUAGGGAUCUCGGGCGAGGGAAAGAGGAGGGAUCGAGCAGCAGCGCACCAGCGCUCUGGAUCUGGUCUGGAACGGGGCAGCGGAGGGGCUGUCAUGCAGUAGAGGACACGACCGGCGGCGGCGCUCCGGCAGCCUGGGAGCAGAGAAGGCCAGACGAGGCGAGGCGUCGCCAUGGCGCGGUAUGACAGCGACCCGCCGGAGGUGGAGUGGGAGAGGCAGCGACUUGCUGGCGCCGGAGGAGGCGAGGCGUCGCCAUGGCGCGGUAUGACGGCGACCCGCCGGAGGUGGAGCGAGAGAGGUGGCGGCGCUCCGGCAGCCUGGGAGCAGAGAAGGCCGGAGGAGGCGAGGCGUCGCCAUGACGCGGUAUGACGGCGACCCGCCGGAGGUGGAGCGAGAGAGAUCAGGCGGCGCGGGGGAUGCGGGUCUGCAGACGGUGCAUGGAGGGGGGAUCCCGCCAGUGUGCGCAGCUUUGGGUGAUGAGUGGGCAGGGCCGUGGGGAUCCCUUCGAUGGCAGGCAACAAGAUAAGGCUGCGAGGAAUUACAAGUCCGCUGGAGAAGCACAACGAGGCGUCUGGCUUCUUCUAGACCAGUUGACGUGUUACUAGCGCAUGUUGUCUUUUUUCUUUUUGUGUCCACGAACCGAUAAAAAGCUCUGAAUUCAUCAGGAGGAUGUGUUAGGGUGCACACAAUCUUUUUUAGCUAGACAUUUAUUUUCCGUUCACUAACCAUUGAUAAUCUGAUUCAUAAUGUCAUAACAUUUUUUCUUUGCUUCCUAAAUUGUAUUCAUAAAAAACAUAACACUAGCCACACAUGCACCGUCAUUAAUUAACUCACUCAUGCUUAUUUGAAACUAUGUUUAGGGAUACCUGAGUACAUUUUUUUAUUUAAACAAAAAAUAUUGUAAAUAAAAUUAAAAAGUAAAGUACUUAAAACUAGCUUUCUACUUUCUUAAACAAAGGAUUACACAAAUUGUUAUCUAUACGACAAUGACUUUACAGUUAACACACACAAAAGAAAAAUGCAUGCCUGAACGUCGGACGAAGUAUACGAUAUUUUUAAAAGGUGCAAUUUAAAUCUUCACAGGCCGGUAAAAAUCUCCAUCCCGUGGACAUGUUAGUUGAUCUUCAUGGACGGGUAAAACCUCCAAAACUAUGCACAGUUGCCGGAUUGAUGCUACAUAUUCUUUUGAAUGUCGAAUUUGACUUUAUUUACGUCCCUCACAAACUCGUACUCAUUGGCUAGUAGGACACGAAAACAAAAAAGGAACAAACAUCAUGAUAUUUCUAGCCCGUUGCAACGCACGGGCAUUUGUACCAGUCCAAAAUCAACAGAAGAAUAGAGCAUAUGCAUCCAUUGAUGUCGACCAGUAUUAUGCCGUUUUUAUUUUUUAAGCUUGAACUUGAUUGGGUGUGUGCAUGUGAGUUAAAACUUUUAAGUAGUAAAGCGCCUUUUAUCAGAAAAAAUCGACGCCGAUCGACCGUUGUGCAUCAACGAAGAAGAACCAGUAUCUCAAACACAAUCUUUGUGCUAAUAUCAAAUUUAUAUUUUACCGACUGAUGACAAUAGUAUACGGCCGGAGUUAACAAAAGAUCAUAUUACCAGAUACAAAACUCAACACAUAAACUGCACAUAGAUCACAGAAUCGAAGGAUUCAAACAGGAUCACACAUACACCCAUACUAGCUACCACUAGGUAGCUUCAUAUCGAUUUGGUAUAGCUAGCUAGUAGUUACACGAGACAAAGGAUUUAGGAUACAAUACACAUCGUGCUGUGAUCUUCACCGGUAGUCUUACAGGGGGGAGAUCAUCAUGGCCCCCGGUCGAGAAGUUACAAUUGCCAAAGGAUAGAAGUUGCCCUACCUUAGUAGAGGUGAGAAGUCGCCGCCGCCGCUGCCGCCACCGCCGUGGACGAGGCCGCCCUGCCGGCCAGCCAACCAUGGCCGUUUCGCCCAGAGCUUCCUCAAGAACCCAAGUAGCCUAGCUAGCUGCAGCUUGAUGCAAACCAGAGAUAGCUAGCCAACGCCGGAUCCAUCGGUUGCUACGUACGCGCCCAGGGACCAUGGCCGAGGGCACACUCCGAGUGAGGAUGGGAGCAGGCAUGCAUGCAGCUGGUACUGGUCG
rnacentral:lncRNA from 1 species